rnacentral:lncRNA from 1 species
CUAAAUAUCUAAUUCACUCUGCUGAAUUUUCGGAGUUCUUGGUUAUGGAACAAGCUGACCAACUUUUGGAUACUUAUAUAUAAUUGCGAGUUCUGACUCGUCCAAACCUUCGAGGUUCCCAUUAAUAUCUUGAGGUUUAAAAGACAAGUGAGAAACAGCUCGGCUACAUUCCUUUCCGGAAAACAUUGCUUACGAUCCUCCUGGACCAUAAAAUUUCAGGAGCCCAUUAGGGAGAAAAUUAAUUAAUUGAAGAAAAUUCACUGAACAUUAGACAUAACACUAAUACAUCCACGCUGAUAAUAAUCUAAGAAAAUUAAUAAAUUAAAUGUAAUCAUUAUUGUGUUGGUAUCAUAUCAAUAUCGGGCCCAGGGCACGCCUUCAACUAGAAGUGCGGUGCUUCAAAAUUUAUAACCAAAUCAUCCAUUGACUUCACAAUAAGGCCAAACUAAUUAAUGAAGGGCAUGUUUUGCUUGCGUUAUUUCAGUUUAUAUACUAGCAUAAGCUCUACGAGACUAUUUAGAAGAACUUAUGAAAACAAUGUACAUGAUCAUAAAUUGUUUUCUACUUAUUUCUGCAGACUCUCCAUGAUAGGUUACGAAAACAACUUAGAGUUUAUUUGAAAAGAAAUUGACUUUAUUUUAUGUUUUGUUAUAGAAAUCUCUUGUACAAAAGCUCUUACAUGGAAAAUAAAGGAAAGUAUGAUGUGUGGAGUAAAGGAAAGUAGUAACCAAUACAAACUAUGAUGUGUGGAGCAAAGGAAAGUAGUAACCAAUAUCAAAGUGAACACAAGCAAUAAUCAACAAUAACAACACCUAGAUCUAAUCUAGGAAUCAAAGUGAAAAGUACAAAACCACAAGCAAAAGAUAAAGGGAGAGAAGAGAGGGACAAACACACCAAAGAUUGUUGACCCAGUUCGGUCCAACUUGACAUAAUCUGGAGGAGAGAUUGAUCUCUCCAAUCCACUAUCAAUGAGUUCUUACAAAGAGAUACAAAUGGGUUACAAGAAAUUAGCUUCAACAAAUUCACAAAGAACAACCCUAAUUUCUACCCAUUUUCUCAAUCUCACCAAUGAACAAGACACUCAAUGAUUUUCACUCACCCAAGGUGUUUACAAUGUUUCCCAACCCAGGAGAACUCUAAUCAAAGACCCUCAACCCUAAAGUUACCUCCUUUGAUUUCCCAAGUUUCUCUCUCUUCAAGCUCUCCUUCAAAAUCUGCAAAGAAAACUUAUAUAGUAGUCUUCAGCGUCAAAAUCGUGUCACGAUUGAUGCGUACGACCCAAGGUACGACCAACCUUAUCCUGAAAACUUGCCCAGCAAGUCAAAAAUCGUGUCACGUUUUCCCAAAAUCGUGUCACGAUUGGACACCCUAAAAAUAGCUAUCGACAUUACCAAAAUCGUGACACGCUUGCCAAAUCGUGUCAUGAUUUCUCUGUUUUCCAACUUUGCAAUUUGAAGACAUAAACAACAGCAUUUUAUAAUUAUAAUAAAAAUUGUUUAUCUUUGUAAUAGGCUAAACCAAAAAUGGUUAAAGUCCAUCAUUGAACCAUAUUUGAACUUAGAAGCGUCAUUUUAUCAAAUCUAUUUACUCACAUUUUCUCUCCAAUAUUCAUAGGCUACACCAAAAAUGGUUAAAAGUAUCAUUUCUCGUGUAAUUUGUUUGAGUAGACAAAAUCUUCAACAAUCAUCACAAAGAAAUGAUUAUGCACAAAACAUCUUACACAAACACAAACAAAGGGUUGCAAUUCAAAUAGAGCAGAUAUUAGAAAUAAGGGUCUUAUUAACGAGUGUCUAAGGAUAUUCUUUAAGUAUUUUAAGUAAAGAAAUUAUUUUAAUCUAUUUAUUUAAAAAGUCAAACAUUUCAACUUUUAAAGUAUUGAAUACACACAUUUUUAUAAAAUCUUACUACUUUAAUCUAUUAAAGAGUGCUUUUAGAAAACUCGUUAGCAUUUUCCUAAAAACAAUAUCAAUCUUCCUCUCAUGUGAUGGUCAUUGCUAACUUAGGGGUGGCAAAUUGGAUGGACAUGGAUUUGAAUCUCAAAUGAAGAAACAAAAAAAUUAGUUAGUCCAUUACAAUCCACUAUAUAUAUUUUUUUGUUGAAAAAAACAUCAAAUUCAUCCAUUAAGUAUAAUGUUCAUCCAGUCCAUCCAUUAUUAGAUUGAUGGAUGAACAUUCAUACGAUCCAUCUAUUAAAAUGUGCUAUUUUUUUUUUUUAAUUUGUUUUAUAUAAUUAUAUUGUUAAUAAGUUGGUGCAUGAUUUUAAAAUAUUCAAACUAAUAUUUAUUUAAGUAUAAGCCCAAAACAAAUUUGCUUUACAUAAUUACAAUAGCUCCAACACAUAAAUCAGAGACUUCAUUGCUUCAAACAAGAGGACUUCUACAAUCAUAAUUUUCUUAAAGAAUUUGUAUGUGUUUACACUUUAGAGCUUAAAGAAUGGUAAACCAAGUUUAAGCUUAAGAAGCUUGUGACACUAAGAAAAUCUAAGAUCCUAAGUUUCUAAGAAUUUUUGUAACGCCCUAGUUGUUAUUUAUUUAUUUUUGAUCUAUUUAGAGUUUUUUAAAUGAUUUUAAAUAAUUAUUGUUGAUGUUGUGGUGUGAUGUAUUUUAUUAAAUGAUUUAUUUUUAGUAUUUAAUAUAAUAUUGUGAGAAAUAGAAUUAGUUUGGGAGUUUGGGGUUAAAUUAGAAUUAAUAGAGUUUAUGAGGAGUUAAGUAAUAUUGGGAGCUUACAUUAAGUUAAAAAAAAAAAAAUAGAAACUGUUAGUCAGAAGCAUUUUCACGUACAACAGAGUUUUGGGAGAAAGCAAGAGAAAACCAAGAGAAGAGCCAAGUAGGAAGAUUCUGAUUUUUGGAGAGUUUUGUUCAUCAAAUCAAGGUAAGGGUGAGACUAUCUCUCAAUGAUAAUGGUUAUAUAAUUUCUGAUUUUGGUUUAGCAAGGUUCUAGUUGAAAUUAGGAAAUUAGAGGUUAGGUUUUGGAGUAUGAUUUUUGAAUUAAAAAGUGUAGAAUCCAUGACAUUAGUGUUAGAAUAUGUUCAGGUCGUAGACAGAAAUUUAUUACACUUCUAUAAUUUGUUUUGCGGAUUGAAAUUGAGAAAAUUGGGAUUUUUGGGAAAAACCUGCACUCUGCCCGUACAGAUCUUCAUCGCUCGCCCCGCGAGUAGCUUGUCUCGCCUCGCGAGCAAGACCACUCGCCAUAGCGAGUAAGUGAGUGAGAGAUCAUGAUUUUCAAAUUGUUGUUAUAAGACGUAAGUUGGAUAGUUUUGAGUGCCUGGAUGUUUUUAGAGAGGACUGAGACAAUUUUUAGAUUAAAGAUGAUUAGAGAGCUUAAGAAUGAAGAUUUAGUGAGAAAAAUGUCAAAACUCCCGAGAGCAUCAUUUUCUUGCUCGCCACGUACUCGCCAUAGCGAGUAACCCAUUUCUUGAGUUCGCCAUAGCGAGCAGAUGUACUCGCGAGGCGAGUUGCCCUGUACCUGAAGCCGUUUUUAUGUAUUUGAAUAUUGUUGGUUGGAUUUUGUGUAGGACAAAUAGUUAUGAUUAAUUGUGCUAUUUUACCGGAGCUGUUGAAUUAAGUAUGAUGAAUUGUUGAUUGUUGUUAUGUAUAUUUAUAUUUAAAUAAAUUAUACAAGUUGUUGAAUUUCAUUUCAAAGGUUAAUGUAUCAUUGGUUGACUAUGUUGUGGUGUAAGUCAUAUUCAUAUAUAUAUAUAUAUAUGCAUUGUUGAGUACCAGUUGUCGUCGUUCAUGUUGUCGUUGUGUUGUAGUUGAGUUGUAUGUUGAUAUACACAAGUGGAGUUCAUUGCAUAAUCAUAAACUAUUGAGGGCUCAUGCCCUGGAACGCCUUGUCGUUCAAUUGUUGAGGGCUUAUGCCCUGUGAAUGCUAGUUCAUUCAAACCGUUGAGGGCUCAUGCCCUGUGAAUGCUUUAACCAUUCAAACUGUUGAGGGCUCAUGCCUUGAAAUUCCUUGUCAUUCAAACGUGUUAAAUGGUACCACAUGCAUGUGCAUUGUCGCAUUUUAUUUUUUAGUCAUAGUAGUGUUGUCAUGUCAUUGCAUAAGUCGUUGUUGGUUGAAAUUGCCGGAUGUUGAUAAUGUUGUUGAUCAUGAAAUAUAUAAAUAUAUUGAUGUAUUGUUGUUAUUUAGGGUGUUAGAUUCAAUCGAUGAAUUAUAUAUCUAUUAUUGUUGUUUGUGAAUCUCACCCCUUCUGCUUGAAAAUGUUGUCCUUCGUAUGUGUAACUUGCAGGUGAUGAAGAGUAGUAGAAGUGGUGGCUCAAGUGUCUUAGGGCUCUGAUACGUAACGGGAUGGGAUAUUGUUGUUUUAUUUCCAUUCCUUAUGUAUCAAUUUUGGAACAUGUUGUUGGAGCCUUUAUUGUUGUUGAACAAAUUGUUGAUGAUUAUUUAUGUUGAGGCCUUUGUGGCAGAAUUUACGGUUGGUUAUUUAAUGUUAAGUGAUUGAAAAAUAUAAUGUAUAUAUAACAUACGACUUCAUAAUUCAACAACUUCAUCACAACCAAUCCAACAUCAGAAAAAUGUAUAAUUAAUAAUAAUCAUACUAAUACAUCAAGUUCAUUCAACAUAGUAUAUUUUCACUUAGUUUUGUAUUCACUCUAAUCCGAAUUUCAUUAAAUUACACCAAUUCGAUUAUCAAUGUGUUCAGUAGGAUUCAGGGUAUAUAUAAUGGUCUUACAAGUUGAAAGGAACAUUUAGAAAUGCUCAAAAGGAUCCCCUAGUGCACGAAGCAAAGUUCAAAAAGUGGCUGACUAAGGUCAUCUUCGCUUAAGCGACCGGCUCACAGAAAUUUGAGCGAACUUCUGGCAGAAUGAAAUUGAUUUAUCGCUUACGGGUUUGCUUAUGGUUCGCUUGAGCAAACUCUUGGCAGAAUGGAAUUAUUUUUUCGCUUGCAGGCUCGCUCAUUGUUCGCUUAAGCGAACUGACAAAACAGAAUUCUAGGCAGCUUGCUUGAAUGCUCGCUUAAGCGACGGGUCGUUCGCUUAAGCGACCAUUCAUCUGGGCAGUGCAAAAACCUACGGGUCCAAACCUCUUCUCGCUCCAAAAACCCAAUUUUAAUCCCCUGAUCACCCAAAACGUUUUCCAACAGAUGUUUACAGGUUCUAUACACAACUAGGCAUCUAAAGGAACACAAAACAGGCAUCAACAACAACAAUUCAGAUCAUUCUAGCAAUCAUACAAAACUUCUCCAAUUUAUCCAACAAUUCUAAUUUCAUUCAAAUUCUGAUCACAACAACAUUAUAGAUUAAGAAAUCAUUCUGAACACUAAAUUACAACACAUUAAACAUGAUUCUUACAUCAUUCCUUUCAAAAUCAGCAUCAACCCUAAUUCCCAAUUUUUAUAUUCAAGAACAAUUCAAUUAGAUCUAUUUUUCAGAAAUUAUGUAUUAAGAUUAUUGAGAGAUAGUCUCACCCUUACCUUAAUUCAGAAAAUCGCACGACUUACGGUUGAUUUUGGCUCUACUUGUUCUUCUCUCUCCUUGUUCUUUGUUUUCUCUCCCAAAACUUGUUUCACGUAAAACUGAUUCUGACCUUUUCUUUUCCUAACUCCCAAAACUAUAACUCCCCCCUUUAUUUCAUUAAACUCCCCUUAAUUCUAUUAAUUCCUAAUUAACUCCCCACACUCCAAAAUAAUUCUAUUUCUUAUAAUAUUCUCAUUAUAUUAAAAUAAAUCAUAUAAUAAAAUAAUACACACCACAUAAAUCACACAUAUUAUUUAAAAACACCUAAAAGACUCUAAAUAAUUCUAAAAUAAAUAAAAUAACGACUAGGGCGUUACACACGUGGUCAGAAGAAGGCAAAUAAUACUAUCAGAACUUGAAAGCGACAUUCCAUCAAAAAAGACAAAAUUGGUCAGAGUCACCCAGACUAUUGAUGUGUCCUCAAGAACAAAACUUGUUUUCAUGAGUCUUUAAAACAUCUCUUGAUCAGAGCUUUGAUUUUCUGUUGACCUUUCUUUAUAUCAUUCUCUAAGUUUUCAGAAGUUUCCAAUGCUUCUCUUGAAUACCAUAAUGUUUUCUAUUUUGCUUAGAACUUGACAUAUCGGAGCCAAAUACUUGACUUUCAAGUCACAAUUUAAUUAUAUGGUCAUACAUACUUGAAAACACAUUAUAGAACCAAAUUAUUCCUUCAUACAUUGUUAUCAUCAUACUUUAGAGACAUUGUUCUAAAAUUCACUCUGGUUAAAAAAAACAUUUUCUCAACUUAUACAAGUUACACAUUUAAUAUGUAUUAAUUUGAUGUAUAAUGUUAUUUUUAAAAAAAAAAAAUCAUUCUAUGGUACUCACAACUAAUAAAAAAAAAUAUGUUGUCACCUAUUCGAUGCAUCAUUUAUACACAUAUUUGUUUCAUCAUUCGUUACUGUCUUUUACUAAUGAUUAAAAUGUAAUGAAGUUUAAUAAAAAAAAUAUGAGGUAAAGGAAAACAUUCAAUAUUAAUUACAAUUUUAUAAAUGGCUUCUUAUAACUCUUAAGUGCUAAAAUUCAUUUAUUGAAAAAAAAAAAAGUGCUAAAAUUCAUUUAAUUGAAGUUGAUGGAGCAUGGAUUUUCUUACUUAUAAAACAAUCCAAAAAUUGGCUUUAUUGCAUUCAAAGAAAGAUAAAUAUGACUCAAUUUCUCUUCUUUAUCUUUGUUUUGAUGAUCUUUCUUUCUCCAUUUCUUGUUGAAAUGGAAAAGAGUAUGACACCUUUUACACCUUUUUAAUUUUUGAGCAAUGAUAUUUAAACAACCAUUUGCUAACAACUUUUAUGAUAAUCUCAUUUUUCUCUCUUCUUAUUGGUCAAAAAUAAUGGAGAGAGAAAAAGGAAGAGAGAGUAAGAAUAUAAUGUGAGUAUGAGAGAUAAAGUUGUCUAAAAGUUGUUAAAAAAUGGUUGUACAAAUAUCAUUUCUCUUAAUUUUUAUAGUUUUCUGGUUUACUUUUACACAAUAUUUAUCACUUUUAGUAACAUAUUUUUUCUUAUUUGACAAUGCAGCUCAUGUUCGUUGCAUUACUGCCGAUGAUUGUCCAAAGGUGGAAAGACCUCUCAAAAUGAAGUGUAUUGGAAAUUAUUGUCACUACUUUUUAAACAACUUUUAGACAACUUUAUCUCUCAUACUCACAUGGUUUUUAGAGUAAUGAUUAAUAUAGAGAAGAAAUACAUCACGAAUUUAUCACGACACCGCACACUCACGUAUUACCACUAGUUUUUAUUUUAUUUUUUAAAGAACCACUAGUUUUAUUGUUCACUCUCAUAUAUUCCCCUCAUUCAAUAUUCAUUUUGUUAUCACUUAUCUAUGGUCUUUUGUCUUCCAUCCAUGUGCAUUUCAACUUUCAUGGCACUAUGUGAUUCACUCUUCAACUCAUCUAUAAUUAGGAAUAAGGACUAUGAAACACGUACACUCAUAAAAAUGGAUUAAACCAAGAAGCGUUUCCCCAUGAUAUAUACCUUCACAUACUUUAGCCAUGAUAGUUGUUAUUUUACAAACAUGUUGUUUUUAACUAUAUUCGGGACACAUUCGUGAGGGCUAUAUAUAUAUUCGUGAUAUAUAGCACCACUCUUAUUUUUGACAAACUACUUUUUAGAUUAUUGAUGGUGGGUAUGAGUUGGCAAAUGCAAGUGCACCAAAUCGUGCUCAAGUAAUAUAGUAGUAAGUUAUAUUUUUUAUAGGGAUUGUCAUUCAACUAAAUAAUUACUUUUUUUUUAAAUAUUCACCUUCUUUUUUUUAAAUAUCAUAAUACAAAGAAUGUAGGUUGUAACACCCUAUUUCCUAACGAUAAAUAUUAAAUAAUAAGAAUUUAUUUAAUAAUAAUGAUGUUACAAAUCUUCACAUGACAUCACAUAAUAGCCUAAAGUUUCCUUUUAAGUAAUAAUUUAAACGUUAAAACAAUCCUCUAAUCUCAUUAAUAAAAGUUUCUCUUGUCAUUUAACAUCGUAAUAGAAAUAACAAUAGUUCUCAAGAUUCAAUCUCCAAGAUAAAUAAAUUCAACGUCAACUUCAACCCUAGUGUUACAUAUCAGAGCUCGCUCAUAUUCGAAUACAUGUCUAAUCAUUACUAAAAUAAAAUUGACGGAAGACAAUUCCUGUCGAAAGUGUCCCGCAACUAGAUCUCCUCGUCCUAAGUAUUGUACUCCACGGGUACAUACACCAUAAAUACAACAACUAGAAAGGGGGUGAGAAAUCCAGCAAUAACAUAUUAUUAGGAAAAAAACACGCACGUUAAAUAAAUAUCAAGGAAUGUAAUCUCUAUUAUCUCUUCACCCUCAACAGUUACCAUAUAUAAUAUCUUCAUUCACUACAAAAAAAAAAACUGCAUUUUGCGACUUUUAAAAACGUUGAUUGCGACUGUUAGAAGGGUCGCAAAUGUACAUUUGCGACUGUUCCCCAACAGUCGCGGAUGUUGGGGUCGCAACUGUCUUUUGUAUCAUUUUUCACAUAACACAGCAACACAUCAUUUUUCACACUUUAAAAAAACAAACAUCAUCAUAUACAUGCAUAUGGACUCUCCUAUGACCUAUAUGAAUGUGGUACCAUAGCUACUCACAAUUUUUCCAAAGUUAUAUUAGUGGACUUUUCUCCCACAUAGUUGUUAGAGGUAUGUUACUGGACUUCUCUCCCACAUAAUUGCCAGAAGUAUGUUAGUGAACUUUUCUCCCACAUCAUGCAAGACACCAUGUUAUAAACUCUAUAUGGCACAAGGAAAUAAAUUCAGCAAGUAUUGCACAUAUACACUUAAACACAUCACAUAAUCCACAUAUUAAUGCAAGACUCCCCUUAAAAUGCACGACUCUAUUGCAAACACACGAAACAUUAUCACUCUACUCAUCAUCAUAGAUAAACAUUAUAUAUCUCCGUCAUAAUAGUAUAAUUAUCAUCAUUCUCUUUGUUCCUGUAAUAUAGACAUUAUCAUCCUCGUCAUCAUAAUUUAACCACUAUUACUCAUUAAUAUAAUAUAAACAUUGUUUCUCAUCGUAUUUAUUUAUUCACAUAUAUAUUAUAUCAAUCAUCAUCACUCUUUAUCACAGUUAUAGGAUUCCUCAUCAUUACUCUCUAUCAACCGUUUAUAUCACCACCUUAUCUCUUCAUUAAUCCAACUCUUACGUGUGAUGCAUUUCUACGUCAACAUCCCUCUAUAUGAUUUUAUUAUUCAUCUUAUGGACAUAAUCUAUUCUCUCGUCUAUCCUAAGAUCUCUAUAAACUUUAUCCCUGAUAUCAUACCCUAUUCUUCAUUCUUAGUUUCAAGAUGUUUUCUUAUUUUUUAUCAUUACAUACAACGUCUCCUCUUUAUAUAACUAGGUUCUUCCUCACCAUUGUCAUUAACUCUUUCAUACUUAUUCCUCUCAUUAAAGUUACUUUAUAUCUUAUUACCUCGUUCUCACUUUCGUCGCCAUGUAUACAUCGACCAUUCUCCUAAUCUUAACUUCAUUCUAAUUUAAAAUUAUAAUCUCACCUUAUCAUCACCUUCAGCAACUUUCCUCACUACGACUUCGUUAUAAUUCAAGGUUUUGUUCUCUCGAUACCGGUUGUUAUUAUCAUCGACUAACCUUAUAACUAAUAUCUCUUAUCCUCUUUCCUAUUCAUCUUGCUCUCUUCUAAUCAAUUUUGUACUUAUUCAUCGAUAUCCCCAUUCCUAAGAUCUUUCUUUACUAAGUACACAACUCCUUAUCUUCCUUUACAUUUCAUCUUAACGACCCUCUCAUCGCCUACGAUCAUCUAAAUUCGACACCUAUUAUCUUUAUUUAUUUUCACAAAUUGUACGUUCUUACCUAACAUUCAUAUUGAGUUAUUUAACUACAUUGACUCGUUCAAUCUUUAACUUAGUAAAAUUCCUAAACUCAUUAUUGGUUUAAGGAGUUUAUGUUUAACCUCAUCAAUUACCCAAAAAGCACCUACUUCAUAUUCCCUCUCAACAUCGUCAUUUUCACUUAUUUAUCUCUUUCAUAUUUUAUACCCGCUGAAUCGACUUACCUCAUUAGAACUUUUAAAUAUCCCAAGGGAUUCCUCUCGUUGUUACCUGUAACGCCCUGCUACUAUUAAAACGAUAAAAUAUGCGAAUAAUAUAAAUAUUCAAGAAAUAGACGUCACAUCUUCAAUAGUUCUCAAAACAUGCAUACUAAAAUUUUCUCAUAAUGUGGCAGAGGAAAAAUAGCAUACAUCUUCAAAUAGCCAUGUCAUAAGCAUCACAAAUACAUCAUCAGAUAGAAUCUGUAAUCUCAACACAUGAGUAAAAUAUCAACAACAUAGUCAAUACCAAAAUAAAAGAAAGACGAACACCCUAAAUCAGAGCCCUAAACUAAGACUCCAAAACGGAUAACGGAGGAACCUCCCGCUAUUCGCAAGCACUCACCAAGCAAGGAACAAAACUACUCAUGCACGUCGUCUACCCAUUCAUACAAAUACGUACCACUGAGGGUUAGCUUCACAUCAUCAUAAUCAUAAUUAAGCAUAAACAAUUGAAAAAGUUACAUCAAAUCAAACUUCAAAUGAUUAAGCAAAAGAGAAUCCAACUUCAAUAUUAUUCAUCGACACAAAUCAAUGCAAACAAUCUCAAGUAUGCACCUCAUCAAUUAGACUCUGAUGACGUCAGCUUCUGAUGGUUCUUUAGACUCUCUGAUGACGUCAGCUUCUGGUACACAGCUUCUGAUGGUCUUCAGACGCUCUUUGUCUUCAGACUUUGUCUUCUUCAGAUUCUAUCUUACAACACAAGUUUCCUUUUUGUAAAUUUCAUUGCUCUCAUUUGUUCCUUCAAAACCUAUACUUGAAUUAAAGUCUUAUAAAUCUAUGUCUAUGGUCUUGCACACUAGAACAAAUAUUUGGAACAUAUAUCUAUGGAAGGUUGUACAAACGUGGCUCUGUAUGAUAUGGAGAUAAAAUGGUGUAGAUGAGAAUCAAUAAAAAAAAAGAGGUAUAUUGAGAAGCUUUUUCAAACAAGCUUAAAAUGGUUAGUGUGCAUAUCAGAAACUAUUUUUCACAAGUUCUUCUAAUAUUUCGUGAGACAAGUAUAAUAUAAGCUAUUUCACAAAAACAAUAAAUUGAAAUAAAAUUUUACUCUUCUAGCAUAUCUUUUGUCUAUUCAUUUAGCUAUUUGACAACACUUUGUACUAAAUCGCCUUUUAUCACAGUAAAAUAUCAGUUUGUUAAAAUUCCGCUGUGCAUAGCGCCGCUAUUCGACAACACAAUACUUCGGUCGGUCACUUUUAAGGUACAAAACUCCCUGGAUUACAAGAAUAUAAUAUCUCAAGUCAAAAUUUCACACAAACUUUGUCAUGUGAGGGUUUUGGAUCUACUUUUCUCUUCAUAACUAUUGAAUAGGGUAAGGUUCUAUACAUAUUUAUGAAGAAAUAGAUACAUGGAAAAAAUUCAUCACAUGUCGUGUGAAAUUUUAACACGAGAGGAUUACACAACACGACCUAUACUAUACAAAAACUGAACAGAUUUGUAUUUGCUUACUCCUGGCAUUCAUUCGGGUUUCAUGUUCGAAUUGUCUUCUUGACUGUGCUCGAUUUGCUGAGUUCUUGGUUCUGGAACAAGCUGGCCAACUUUUGGAUACUUGUCUAUGAAUUUAUACUCCCAAUCCUCUAAAAUUGCUAGCUCUGACUCGUCCAAACCUUCGAGGUUGCCAUUAAUAUCUUGAGGUUUAAAAGAUAGGAGAGCAAGGGCUCGGCUACAUUCCUUUCCGGCAAACAUUGCAUACGAUCCUCCUGGUCCGUAAAAAUUCCUGGAUAUACAUGAUUAAGCAAAGCCUAUCAGCUCAUUAAGGAGAAAACAACAGGUCAAAGUACAUUACAUCACCAAUCAUAGAUCGUGGAAAACAACAAUUUGUUCAAAUUCUGCUACUGAACAGUACUAUAGAGCCGAUAUAGCCACUAUUGAACAACAUUUUGUACCAAAUAAUGUAUUGUGGAAGAACAGUGAUUUGUUCAACUUCCACUACGCUAUAGCUCAAUAGUUGCUAUUUAACAACAUUGGAAACACCACAUUCUAAACUACUGAUAUAAUUAUGCUUGACAACGAUGAAAAACGAUAGUAAGGAGAAAGAUGGAAUAUUCAACUCAUUCUAAGCAAGCAGAACCUGAAUAUAGGUAGGUUUCAAGAGGUGAAGAAAAUGCAUCACAAAAGUAACUAUAGAGCCGCUAUAACAACUAUUUGACAACAGCUCAUCAACAACUUUUUGUAACACAGAUCAAAAAAGCAACAAUAGAGACACUCUUUUGUGAAGAAAAUGCAUCCCAAAAGUAACUAUAUUCAACUCAUUCUAAUCGCAGAUGGCAGAACAUGGUGGUCUGUUCAAAAUCAGCAACGCAGCAGUGCCAUAAAGCCGCUAUAACCACUAUUUGACAACAUUUUGUACUAAAUACCGUAUAGCAGAACAAUAGCAAUUUGUUCCAAUUCCUCUAAACUACUGAGUAUGAUUAAGCUUCAGUGCUAGUCAGAUGGAAUAUUCAACCAAUUCUAAGCAAGCAGAGGUGGAAAAAAAGUGCAUCACAGGAAGUAACUAUUUGUUUACUUAUACGUCAAACCAUAAAAUUUGGCAUGAGUGCAGUGAGUUCAACUCGAACAAAUGAUCUAACGAAAUCAUCCACAAAAGGUAUUGUGCAUGACUGAAUUCUGAAAAAUGCAUACUUCGUGAUGAAAUAGACUGCGGGCUAGAAUUCCAUGGCCAUCAUUCUAGGGCAAGUUCAGAUCAUUUGUGCAGGCAAGUAAGUGCGAAGACAAUUUACACAUUUCUAAAAUUUAACAACAUAUUUCCCAGUACAAUAACAUUGUUAUUCUAAACUAUGGAAGUGUGAGCAGAUCUUGAGAGAGUAAAGCUACAAGUUAGUUCUCCAAAACACGUAUCGCUAGAAGUGAAAGUAGUAGAAUUCAUGCAUUUCACAUAAACAUUUGGUCUUCAACAUAGAUCCACAUCAAUGUCAUAUGACUUGAAGCUUAUGUGACAUGUUAAAUUCAUGCAUUUCAUGUAAAUUCUUAAGGUUAUCUAAUCGAGUUCCAAACACGUUAAAUAAUAUUUAUCUGAUAAAUCUCAUAUGUAAAAUAUGUGACAUCGAUAUAGGAUCCACAUAGAAUGUCACAUGUUCCAUUAGCGUAUCACAUCAUUGUUUUCUUUUGUCCGGAAUGACAAAUACCGCCUUAAAGCUCAGACACACAAAAGGGAGAUCGUUCAAACUCAAAAACCCCGGAAAAAUGUCCAGCCUAGCAAUCUUAGCAAUGUCAGUUGAGCUAGGCCUACGGACUAUCACAUCAUAACAUUUAACAGAACGGUUUGAUGAUUUUGACUAACUUUUUACACUUUUCAUAGAUAUAUGGUCUGUUUGGUAAGACAUGUUUUAGAGCUUAUAGCUUGUGUCAUAAGUUUCAUUUGAUUAAAAAAAGACCCGUUUGAUAACUGUCUCUUUCUCACGAUCUUAUAGCUUAAUUUUACUAGCUUAUAGUAGUUUACGAUAAGUUGAUUCGAGUAGCUUAAAGCUUAUAGCUUAUAUCAUAUAUAACUUAAUCUUACCCCUGCAAUCUUAAUUUAAAAAAUUAAAUAUACCAUUUUUAUGUCAUUUCAUAUUUAUAAGCGAGUUCAAUCCUUUAAUUUUACCAAACACUGCAAAUACAGACACUCCUCAGAUUAGGCGUGUGGACACAUGUCGUGUCAGACACCUACACGACACCGACACAUAUAAUUACACUAAAUUAUGUCAUUUUCUCAAAUUAUUAGGAGUGUCGAUGUGUUCGUAUCCGUCAUUUUCUUAAAUAUAUCAUUUUUAUGUCAUUUCAUAUUUAUAAGCAGUACAAUCCUUUAAUUUUACCAAGCACUACAAAUGCAAUGUUAGUUGAUUAAGUCAGUUCAACUAACUUAAUCAAUUAACUUAUCCACCAUCAACUAUAAGCUAGUUUAUCACUAUUCAAAUAAGUCAAUCAUGGUCAACUCUAAUUAACAAUUUCCACAUUCAGUACAAAAAAUCACAAUUUCCACAUCAACAUAAAAACACAAAAAAUUAAAAUUAAAAAUAAAAUAAAAAGUAGAAAAUUACUUACUUGCCCUGAGAGACAUCAUAGAUAUUUCCCUUAACAGAAAUCAAAAUGGGUUUAUUUUCAUCAGACCCAUUAUACAACCUCAACUCCUUUUCACUAAUCUCACCAACCUGAACCGGUUUUUUUGGCGGUUCAGUAACAUCAUUGAACCGGGAAGAACCAAACCGAGCCGAAACAACAGGCGGUUUAUUGAAAUCUUGAGGAGAAACAAACAUGGAAGUAACGGUUCGGUAAACAAGGAUGGAUAAGAGUGUGAUUGUGAAGAAAGCUGUUGGUGAUAGACCUGUGUAGUAUGUUAUUGUCUCUGUUAUGGUUGUGUUGAAGUAACUCAUUUUUUUGAGGAUGUUUGGUUUUUUUUGUGUGUGUUUGUUGAGUUGUUGAGAAUGUUUGGUUUUUUUGUUGUUGAGUUUUUUGGUUGUUAAGGGAAGAGGAGAGAGAGAAGAGAUGGUAGGUGAGUGAGAGUAGUGGAAGCUAUCAAACACAAAUCUUGGUUGGUUUAAGUGUUUAGAGAGAUGAAAUGAUGAGAUGUACUUUUCGAAUUUUGACUUUGUUAUAAGUUAAUCAACCCAUUUGGGUUGGUGUUGGUGUGUUGCUAAAACUUUAGAUUAGAUUUUUUUUAUGUCAAUUUUGGUAAGAGGAGUUCUAUGGACACUCUCUUUCUGAUACUCUUUUAACACUUAUUUUUUUACUGGAUGAAAUUCAUGUGGGUAUCAUUGUAGUUUUAUAUAAUAAGACAGUGAGUGUUAGAGAGUGCUAGAAAGAGUGUGCCUAGCAUUUCUCAUUUCGAUAAACUAAAUUUUAUGCUCUAGUUUUAAAUAGAGCCCUUGUAAAUAAAAGUUGGUUUUAAAUAGUCUUCAAUAGUGAACGAUGGAAUUGAUUCUUUUAAAUUAGUUAGUUCUUGUAUCAGAUAUUGAGUUCUAAAAAAAAAUAUAAGGUAUUUUAUAACUGAUCAUUAAUAAGUUAGGUUAUAGCAAAAAAGCAAAUUAAUUGAUUGAAUUUACAAUGUUUUUUUGUAAAGUUUAUAAAUAUGAAAUGAUGUAAAAAUUAUAUUUAAUUAAUAUUUAUUUUUUUUCAAUUGAGAUUGCAGAAGUAAAAUUGAGAUAAAAAGUUAUAAACAAUAAGCUACUUGAAUUAGUUUAUCAAAAACAUUAUAUAGUGUAUGUAUGGUUAUGUGGUAACAAUAAGUGAUUUCGAGUCAAUAGAUUUUGUAAAGUUAUUUAUGUUUGAAUGUAUUUAUGUAAAAUUGGUUUCAACAAAGAAAAAAUAUAGCUGAAACAUUAUAUAGUGUAUUUAUGUUUGAAAUUUGUAAAGUCAUACACGCAUAUCAAACCAACUUUAUCUUUAAAAAUCUGACUUCUCAAAAAUAAAAACUUCAAGAACUUGAUGUUUUUUUCUUUCUAGUAUGAACUUUGUUUAUUAAGAAGAAAAAAAAAGCUCUUAUUAUUUAAAUUGAAAAUAGGUGAGUUGGAUCACUUGACUCGAAAUUCAAAGAACAUUAAUAAAAGUGCAAAAAAUCAAUCUUAAAAAGUCAUCACAAAUAACCCACAACUUCAUAGAGGAAUCAAAGUUUAGUCAAACAUUGUUUUAGAGAAGAUUCGAUCUAGGGUAUAUAUAACGAUUUCUUAAUAACUUUUUCCUUUUGUAAAAUGGCAAAAAACAAAAGUACUGGAUAUAAGGCUCAGUCUCAGGCAUUAAGUCUUAAUAUAGACUCCAACUCCAAUAAAGGAACCUGUCAAAAGGUAUUUCUCAAUAAUUGUUUAAAAUCAACUACUCUGCUAUUAUUUUUUAUGAACAUAAUUUUAUAGAUAAUGGUGACUUAAAAUCAAUCAUAUUAUUUGAGAUUACAAUGUCAAACUCUUACCUUAAAUUGCCACAUCAUAGACAAUUUUGUUACUUUCUCCCUUGUUACUUUCCAAAAUGAUUUUCCAUUUUGUCAAGGAUUCAAAUGAGGAACUAAUUGAUGAGUUUUAUGUAGAAAAAGUUGUUUUCCAUGUUUCAAUUUGUUGAACACAUAAUUCCCAAAUAAAUUUUUCUCUUUAAACUUGUUAGCAAGUUCCCUAAGGGGCACUUGUUAUCAUUUCCUUUUAAAUUUAUAUAAAUUUAUUUUUGUUUUAACCUUUCGGUCCUAAGAAAAUGAGCGAUUAGAAGUACUAAAGUUUGAUUUUAGUAGACACUGAAAUUAGAUGCAGAAGGACGUAAAAAUGUACUUUUUCACAAGGACGAAUAACAAAAGUUGGUAAUUUUGUAAGAAUGAAAAAGAUAUUUAAACUUCUUUUUAGAGGUUGUCCUAUUUUUUUUAAAUAAAUAAAAGGAUAUUUAUAUUACAUGUUUUGGGUAACCACGUUUAUCGGUAUGUCGUAUUCACCGACAUUAUCAAUGAUUAAUCAACGAUCACAACUUUUGUCAUUCAUCUUUAGUUUGAUCUUCUUUUCCAACCAUAUUUUUCUUUUGGUAUUAUACGUGAAAACCCAAAAUGUUAAGAAACAAAUCAAGGGGUACUAAACCCAAUUACAUCAAAAUGCAAUAAAAGACGCAAAUGAGACAAAAAAAUAGUUCAUAUAAGAUAAAGAAAGAGAUAUCCCCUAAGUGACCUAAAUUAGCAAAAACAUCAACACAACAAUUUGCCUCUUGUUAAUCAUCGUUAAGCAAGUGAAGAAUAUAAUUUAAUCCAGUGAAGGUGUAUCAAUAGCUUACUUGGUUAAACUAAUAGAUUAAAGGAGUUAAAAUGUUAAAUGUCAAAGAUUUAAAUUUUAACAAGAGACAGGGGAGUUGAUAUAGGUGGAGGUUGGUUUGGGGAGUGUGUGUCUAAGAAGUUGGGGAAUGGUUCAGACACUUUGUUUUGGUAUGAUAAGUGGUUAGGGUCGGUGUCUUUUUGUGAGCGGUUUCCUAGGUUGUUCGAUCUUUCUGUGAACAAAUUCAUUUCGGUGGCAGACUUGUUUUCUCUUUGUGUAGAGCAGGGUGGGGAGGCGUGGAAGUGGAGGAGGAGGUUGUGGGCUUGGGAGGAGGAGAAGUUAGAGGAGUGUAGGGCAUUAUUGACUGAUGUUUCUUUGCGAGAUUCUGUUUCAGACAGGUGGGUUUGGUUGCCAGACCAUAUUGUGGGUUACUCUGUUCGCGGUUCAUAUCAUAUGCUGAUUUCUAGAGACGUUCCUCUUAGGGAUCAUGCAUCAUCUUUGAUUUGGCAUAACCAGGUGUCGUUGAAGGUUUCUUUAUUUGCUUGGAGGUUGCUUCGUGAUGGAUUGCCUACUAAAGCUGAUUUGGUUCGAAGACGGGUGCUUGACUCAGAAGCUUCAUUGUGUGUUUCAGAUUGUGGCAUGAGUGAAAUGGCGCAACAUUUGUUUCUAUCUUGUGAUGCUUUUUCAUCGUUAUGGCCUCUGAUGCGCCAUUGGCUGGGAAUUCUAGGUGUUGACACCAAUGUUCUACUAGAUCAUUUUCUUCAGUUUGUGAAUUUGACAGGUGGAGGGAAAGCUACUAGAGACUUUCUUCAGUUUAUUUGGCUUUCGUGCGUUUGAAUUUUAUGGAACGAACGUAAUAACAGGCUUUUCAAUAAUGUUUUAACUUCUAUUCCCAGGCUGUUAGACAAAGUGAAAUAUAUGUCUUUAGCCUGGUUGAAAGCCAAUAAGGUUGUUUUUAGGUUUGGUUCUGAGAUGUGGUGCUCAAGUCCCUUACAAUGUUUGGGCAUCACGUAAUUGUUUGUUUGGUUGUUUGUACGAUUCUUUAUUUGUAGAGUAGUUCUUUUGACACACCUUGUGCUAGAAGAGUUGCUUUUGGUGAUUAAAGAAAUUACUAACAUAACGAUUAACAUAUGCCAUUUAGAAAGAAAAAAUUAAUCAAUUUAAGAAUCUCUCUCUAAUAAAUCUCAUUCAUGACCAUGUUAAGCAUUUCUUAGGACCCAAUUUCUCAUUCAUGACCAUGUUAAGCAUUUCUUAGGACCCAAUUUUCACAUAAAGGGAAGUAACGAGUAAAGACCCAUAAUCUCUUCAUCUAUAUUAUUUUUAGAGAAAUAAUAUAUGUACAUUCAUUUUUUGACAACUUUCUCUUUCAUACUCACAUUAUAUUAUUAAUUUAUCUCUUCCUUUAUCUCUCUCUCUAUUGUUUUGGACCAAUAGGAAGAGAGUAAAUAAAAGUUGUCAUCAAAGUUGUUAGAUAUGGUUGUACAAAUAUCAUAACUCUUAUUUUUAGUAUGAGUGUGGUGGAUUUGCUAAAAAGUUAAGGACAAGACAUGACAACUCAAGUUGUACAAUGUUUGAUUUGUAAAACUGUUUUAAAGACAUGACAAACUAGAGGCUAAGAGACAAGACAAAAACAAAAAUUCUUCUCCCUCACCAAACCAUAUAACAACUUUUUGUCCCACAUACAAAUUGUUUAAAACAACAUUUUGUCCAAAAAAAUCAUAAAAGACCAAAAAUUAUUUAAUACGAUAAAAAUUUGUCAUGUGUUAUUCUAUCUUGUAUUAUUCUAUCCAGUACUUACUGUUUUGUAGAUCAAACACGUGUAAGUAAAAAACCACUUAAACAAUUUAAAAUCCAAAAUGACACAAAUUUUAAAUAAAGAUUAACUCAAUUGAUAAAACAUUAACUCAUCCAUGAAAGUUUACCAUCAGAUAUUUUUAAUGCGUGAUAUUGAAAUGGUUUUUUUUCUUGAAGAAACUAAAAUGAAUAAUAUUACCAUCUCAAAAGAAUCUUUCCUAGCACAAGACGUACUAAGGAAAGAAAGUGUCCAAGCAAUUUACAAUAGUCUCCUGUACAAAGCAAAAGAUAAAAACAGAAAAGAAACUCUUAGCCUAUGUCCAAUAUGGUAAACGACAACACCCAUUGUAAUUGAGGGGAAGAGAAAUAUACUUCGCCUUCUACCACGUAAAAGCAAGCGACUUAAUUGUGUGUCUAUUGAACUUAGAAGUCUAUUCUAACUCUAAGUGAGAUGAUCUAACUCUAAGUGAGAUGAGCUCCGAAGUCUAAUUGAUUUAAACUUUUAUAUUAAAAAAAAAAGAAAACAUAAAAAAGAUUUUCUCAAUUUUUUUCUUUAGUAAGAAUAUUUUCUCACAUUUUCAACCUAAAGUAAAAAAGUAAAACAUUUUUUUCCCUAUUUUGCAACACAAAACAAAUACUCACACAAAGAACAUAGAUUCGUUCAUUUUAUCUUUCUCUUCCAUCAAAAGACGCAGAAUCUCUCAGAAUCAACGAAACGACGUCGUUAGAGAACCCUAAACCUCGUUUCAAUCCUCGUAAGUCUUCUAUUUCUAGAUCUAACCCUAACCUCUAAAUCUCACUCCACAACGCGUUUUUCUGCUUUUAAUCGCUUUUCACUCCUCAAUUCCGUUACUCAAUUUCACUUCCAUUUUAAAUUUCUCAUUUUUUCGUUUAUUCAAAACCCUAAUUUUUAAAUGUUGAAGAAUUUGUGAACUGUGUGAAAAUGUUAAUUUCAUUGUUCUUAGUGCAAAAUCUGAAAUUUAAGGGUUUACAUUGUGUAAUGUAUGUAAUAGUAGUAGGUAUUUGAAUGAUUAUUGUACUGUUUGAAUUGGCUUAUUUUUUAGCUUAUGGAAAAUCGCUUAUGCAAAUAAAUAAGCUUUUAUGUUAAUUCAUAAGUUCUCACUAACGGAAAUUGUAUUUUCAUAGGCUUUUUUUUCUCUCUCAAAAACUAGCUUGAGUGACAAGCUUAUGAAUAAUACAGCAAAGCUUAUUCAUUUGCAUAAGCUGUUUUGCGUAAGCUCAAAAUUAAGCCAAUCAAAAUGGGCCCUAUAGGCAAGUUUAUUUGAUGUUGUAGUUAUAGCUAGGUUAGUGCAAAUCAAUGUUAUAAUGGGCCCAUGUGAUUUGGUGGGACCCAUGUGUGUUUUAACUAAUCGAACAGAGUGUGUUGCUAGCACUCCUCAAGUGUCUAUAUACACAGCAACUGUAGUUAGGAAAUCAGUGAAAUUAGGGCUUUUUGGGACAUGAGAAGUAUCCCAUAUUGAAGAUGUUUAUUUUAAAGGUCUUAGACUCUUAGUGCAAAAUCUGAAAUUUGAGACUUUACCUUGAGUAGUUUAUGUAAUAGUAGGUAUUUGAAUGAUUAUAGGUAAAUUUAUUUGAUGUUGUAGUUAAUAGUUAUAGCUUAUUAGCUAUGUUAGUGCAAAUCUCAGUGUUAAUAUGUGCAAAUCUGUUUGGAUUGACUUAUUUGAGCUUAUCCACUGGUAUUUGAAUGAUUAUUGUAUUGUUUGGAUUGGCUUAUUUUUUAGCUUAUGAAAAAUAGCUUAUGUUAAUAAAUAAGCUUUUAUGUUAAUUCAUAAGUUAUCACUAAUAAAAAUUGUAUCUUCAUAUGCUGUUUUUUCAUAAACUGCCUUGAGUUACAAGCUUAUGUAUAAUACGGAAAAGCUUAUUCAUUUGCAUAAGCUCAAAAUUAAGCCAAACCAAACAGGCCCUAUAGGUAAGUUUAUUUGAUGUUGUAGUUAUAGCUAGGUUACUGCAAAUCAAUGUUAUAAUGGGACCCACGUGAUUUGGUGGGACCCAUGUGUGUUUUAACUAAUCGAACAGAGUGUGUGGUAAAGAGUGUGUUGCUAGCACUCCUCAAGUGUCUAUAUAUACACAGCAACUGUAGUUAGGAAAUCAGUGAAAUUAGGGUUUUUUGGGUCAUGAGAAGUGUCUCAUGUUGAAAAUGUUUAUUUUAAAGUUCUUAGUGUAAAAUCUGAAAUUUGAGAGUUUACAUUGAGUAAUGUAUGUAAUAGUAGGUAUUUGAAUGAUUAUAGGUAAAUUUAUUUGAUGUUGCAGUUAUAGCUAUGUUAGUGCAAAUCAAUGUUAAUAUGUGUAAAUCUGUUUGGAUUGACUUAUUUGAGCUUAUCUACUGGCAUAUGAUAAGAAAUUGUGAGACUGUUUGAGAGAACUUAUGAAAAUAACUCAUGGCAUGUUCAUAAACUGAUUUUAGUUUAUUUUUAUUUUUAUAAGCUCUCUAAGAUAUUUAUUAAAAAAGCUUACAUCUUAUACCAAAAUAUUCUUUUGUGAAAAUAGCUUAUACAUAAGCGGUAGCGCUUAUCAUGAUAAUCACUUAUGCAAUAAGCUGUUUAUCCAAACCAAUGUUGUCAAUCGCGGAUAGAGGAAAAUAGUCGAUUGUUAAAUUUCCGCUAUACAGUAGUGCGAUAGCGCCAUUAUAGCUGCUAUUUAACAUUUUGCACUAAAUAGCGGUUUGUCCAAGUUCCACCAUGUAUAGCACCUUACAGUGGUUGUUUAACAACUUUGAUCUAAACUGGGCUUUAAUCUCUGCCUGGGUGCUUAGAUUGCAACUUAAAGCUCUCGGAACUUCCCAAAGAGUGUGUUCUGUGAAGAUUGAACAACAGUCCUCUGCCACAAACUUAGUGCUCCUUAACCAACCUGCGCCACAACUACAAGUAUAUAUGUAAUUGUAAUCAUUUUAAGUAUUGAAUUAGGAAAUGCUAAAAAAAAGCUAAAAACAUAUUACUGAAGCAAUAGUUGAUAUCUGAAUUAGAUUUUCUUUAAACUUUGACUUACCUGAAAUAGUUGUUGGUUGAGUGGAUGAUUUUUUUUUUUUUCUUUUGAAGAGAUUGUGUACUUUGAUUCUCAUCCUUUUGGCACAAAAAUUUUCAGCCCUGUAGCACUUAUUCCCUCGCGCAAUAACAUCUUUUAUUUUUCUUGUUUUAUUUAUUUUUUUGGAUCAGAAUCCUCUAAAGAAUGCUACUAACUCUAGAGUGUGCAGUAAAUAUUGUCAACAGCUGAUGCUUAAAUCAAUGGUUGAUACUGUUCGUACUUGCAUAACAGACUACAAGUUAAAAUAUCAGUCUGUGAUUUUCUGAUUAAUAAUCGAGAUUAUAUAAUUUACUUUCUUCUCAUUUGAGAGCCAAUUUUGUUUUCUAUUUUUCAUGAAAGUAAUUUUUCAGGCUUAAAUACGUCUUUGGUUCCUCUAUCUUGUUUCAUUCAUGGCUUUGGUUCACAUUUUCAAAGUCCAUGAUUUUGGUCCUCUAAUUUUUAAAAUAUCCAGCCUUUUCCAUCUAUGCAUUUGGGGCUGAGUUUUGAUGAUGUGGCAUGUGGGAUACUUAUAUGUGGCAGCUGAGAAACCCAAAUCAGUUGUUGGUUGAGUGAAUGAAUCCUUUUGGAAAGAAAAUCUUCAGCCGUGUAGUACUUUUUCUUUCACGCAAUAACGGCUUUUAAGAAAUUUAUUUUAAAAGCUAUGUUUACUAAACUUUUGACGAGUCUUUUUUUGGUACAGUACUUAUCAGGAUAUGGUACUAUAUCAACCCCUUUUCAAAAUUAUAUAUAAUAUAUGACUGGUAAUAAAUUGAAUACACUGAUUUUGUGGUUUGUACUGCUUUUAUUAAUAUUCUUUGUUGGUGAAUACUUAAAUGUAAUCUAUGAAGCAUUCAGAAAUCACAACAUAAGCAGCAGUAUUCCAUUGUCUUUUUGUUGUUAGAUACAAUAAGGAGUGGAGAAAUGAUUUUGUCAUUUGCCAGUCACUAGAAAGAAAUCAUUGAUUGGAAAUUGCUCCGUAAAUUUCCUUUAUUUUUGUUAUUAAUGGUUUGGUGUGCUCUUGAUUUUUGUCUGUUCUUUGGUGUAUUUUGCUCUUUCUGUGUGAGAGAUAUGUCAUCCUCCAUGUAGCUGUUCUUUUCAUCCUUGUCUAUUAAUAAUAUCUAUCGAACUCAUUAUAUUUGUAUAGUAAACAUUAGAAGCUGAUUACCCUUCUUAGCAAUGAAUUUCCAUUUCUUCUUUAGUAAUAUCUAUCCGACUAAUUUUAUUUGUAUAAUAAAUAUUAGAAGUUGAUUGCCUUCUUUUUAACAAUGGAUUUCUCCAAUUUUGAUCAUGCCUUUUUCUUUAAUUCUACGCAUCAAAUCUCUUAUUUGUCUUAUAUCCAUUUCCUGUGAAUUGUAGGAGAAUCCUGGAUAUGUUAAACUUGUCAUAAAGCAGCAUGGGAAACGAUGCGUAUGAUGGACAAGUUUUAGCAGAGAAGUUGCGGAAACUCAACAACUCGCAACAAAGCAUUGAAUGUAUCCAACAUUUACCCGUCUUAUUUUGUUUGGGUUGUUUUAAUGACGAUAUUCAUUUUGUUAUCUCUGCUUUAUCAAGUUCCAGUACAUAUAUUAUGGCAAUGAAACCUUCCAUGGAGCUAUUGCCUAUGUUCAUUCUAAUAUGUGGGAUUCAUGUCAUGUUAAUUCUAUUUUAGGAUUAGGUACUUAAUUAAUUUCAUUGAUAAUUUUUCAAGGUGUACCUUGAUUUUUCUAAUUAAAGAAUGUUUAGAGUUCUUUUACAAUCUUUCAAAGUUUUUCUAAUAAAUUUUGAACUUAGUUUGGGCAUUCUAUUCACAUUCUGCACUGAUAAUGCAAAAGAAUAUUUGCUUACUGUCAAUUCACUUGCCCACAUAUUCCUCACUACAAUGUCUUUGCAGAACGCAAAUAGCAACUACUUGUGUCCUUCUACUCGACAAUGAACAAUUUGAUAUUUUGUGAUGAUGUUGUGCUUACUGUUGGUUUUGAUAUAUGGAAUGCUAACUUCUUUUCUGAACAAUAAAGUAACUCAUUUCUUUACCUGUCAGUGUUUCCUUGUCUAAAAAGCUCUUUGAAAAGCAGUUGGGCCCCAAUUGUCCAAUUUGCAAUUUGAUCCUGACUUUUAUUUCAAACAGUUCAGUCCACAUUUUAUUUUUUCAGUUGAAAAGCAGUUCGGCCCCAAUUUUUGUCUAAUUUGCAAUUUGGUCCUGACUUUUUUUUAUCUCAAAUGCAGUUUAAUUCACUUUUUUUUUUCAGUUCUUUUUCCUCCUUUAUAUCUACAAGACUAACCAAACCUUGCAUUAAUCUCAACAAUUACUUUUUAAGAGAUUUAUCAAUAUGCAGACUUCAUGCUGUAGUUUUGUAAAUGGCAGAGAUAUUGCCUAAUUUUCCCGAUUCAUUAAAUAUCUUCCUGACAGUAAUAUUGGUUUUGAUUUUGAUUCGUGGUUAAUUUUUAAUCAUAUAUAUUUUUUCAUAUGAUUUGCUCCUUCCAUUUUGCUUUGCAUUUGAUUGAUGUAUUUGCAAAACGUAUUUCUUUAACAUCAAAUCAGCUGUAUCCCGAUUGUGUGUUUCUCACCGUAAGAGAGCAAAAGAUAUAGUUGAAACAUGGAAUAAAUCGUUCGGUUCUUCCCAGAAAGAGCAGCGUGUCCCUUUUCUGAACUUGGCUAAUGACAUCUUGCAAAAUAGUAGGCGGAAAGGCAGUGAGUUCGUUAAUGAAUUCUGGAAAGUUCUUCCAUCAGCUCUCAAGCGUGUUUAUGCAAGUGAUGAGCCGGGAAAGAAAUCAGUGAUCAGACUUGUAAGUUCCUUUCUCACUUGCCAUAAGUCUUGUUAAUCAAUUGUAUCAAAGUGUGUUCAUUCUUUGCUCAAGUUUGUAAUAAUGCCAUGGGUUUUUGGGUUAGGCUUGGGUAUUUUUUUUUUUUAGUUUUUUGGGUUUUAUUAGAAUGUACAUUGAACUGAACUGCUAUGGUUGAAAAAAUGGACUUUCAGAUCGAAGAACCUACUUCUCUAUAUAUUCUGUAUGAUUUGUUUGAUUAGUUUUUUAAAUGUUUUUGAUAAUGGCGUACAUUACUGCUGCAGCAUAUAUUAAGAACAGCAGAACUCUUUAUGUUUUUCUAGAUGUGUAAAUCGUUCUCCUUUUUUAUCUAACAUCUAACCAUUUCUUCCUCUUUCUUUUGUUUAGAUUGACAUAUGGGAGGAAAGAAAGGUUUUUGGUUCGCGGUCUCAAGGUCUCAAGGAAGAAAUAACGGGCAAGAGCAAUGGAAAGAAUUCAAAUCCUAUCAAGAUAGCUAAGAGGGACGCCCACUCAUUGAGAUUAGUAAGCAAGUUGCUGCAGCACUCUCCAAUAUAUGAUUUAUUCACAUAUUAGGUUUUGUCUUGAUAUAUUUGAUCUUGAAGUAUGUCGUAUCUUGGUCAUCUUCAUUGCAGAAACUAGCUAUUGGAUGUUUGCCAGAGAAAAUAAUAACAGCAUUGCAUUUUGUAAAUGAAGAACAUCCUAAUGAGGAAGCUUCCUUGAACAAGUGUAGUGCUGCUUUAUCUCAAUUGGGUAAACUUGUAGAAGAUGUUGAAAAUACACUGUCUCAAGGUAAGAGGACUAGUAAAUCGAACUGACGUUUCUUGCCUUGACAUGAAUUAUCUGAUGAUUUUUUUCUUCUUCAAGUGUUGUCCUUAUGAGCCAUUUUUUAUGGUCUUACACGAUAGAUACAUCGGUAUCAUAAUUGAAAACUGUUUCAAAUAUAAAUGUUUAAUUGCAGUGUGGGUCCCUCUAUCACUGGCAAUAUGUGAUUUUGGCCUUGAAAUGCUUUUUUGGCAGCAAUCAGAUCCCUCAGUUUUUCCGAAAUGGAUUUGAUUUGGUUCUUUCAAAAUACCACACAUUCAUGUAUUGAUGUACCGUUGGAUCAAUCACAGAAAGUAUUUGAGAAAGUCUAUGAUUGAUUAUUGAUAUUAAUGCAUGAAUGUGUGAUUCUUCGAAUGCAUAUAAUCGUUAUCCUGAUUAUAAGAUAUCCCUUAAAAAAAAACUGAUAAAGAUAAGUCCCUAUGGCCAGGAAAGUGGCAUAGCUAUAAGAAAACAUCAGUCUUACUAUUUUUUUUGGUAUAAGAACAUUAAGAUAUCUUGUUCUCUUUUGUUUCAUGUCAAUACGCCAUCAACAGUUUCGGGUAAUGCAGAUCUUGUUGCUGGCUACUCAAUUAGUUGACGCCAUCUGUUUUAAAUGAUCAAGUGCCACAUUGUCUUAUAUUCCUUGAUGAAUGGAUCCAUCCCAUUAUAUUGUUCCACCUGGUUUCACAGAUUAGGGUUGUCUUGUCAAACUUUAGAUACCAUAUUGUGACAAGGAAAAUACGAGAGCACAAGUUAUUAUGUUUGUAAUUUACCACAUAGCUCUAUUAGAAACAACUGUACAUGUGCGUCUCAAACAUGUAUUGAAUCACAAGAAUAGGUGUCAAAGUUAUAUUUACCCUUUUAGUAUAAUUACAUGAAAUAGUACCAUCACAACUACCCUGUUCAUGUAAUUUUGAACAUAUAGUGUGAUAGGUUUACAUAUAAGUGUAUUAUUACAUUUGUUAACAAAGCCAAUUAUAAAAACAUUUGGCUAUAAUGAAAGGCUUAAAUGUGAUUUGCCCAUGCUUGCAUGUGAAUCAUUUUGAUGUCUGAAUAAUAAUAUAUUAAAGCAAUAACCCAUUUGGGGUUGUUCUAGUGGUUGGAUUGGGAUCUUGGAGUUUGCUCCUCUCAAGGUCUCAGGUUCGAUUCCCCCUGGUGCCAAUUUCGGUGGGCAAGUCCAUACAGAGCCUUGCUUUGGCUUUAAAUGGGGCCCCCGCAAGUGGGCGGUGGGAUUGGUCUCCUCAGAAUAGUCGAUUCUUGGAUCAAAUACCGAGUUUUAAAAAAAAUAAUAUUAAAGCAAUAAAAAAAGAAUGACUUAGAGAUCAUACCAUUUUUCCCAAUGAUUGUUGGUAGCAAAUGGGGGAGAAUGUUGAAUGCAUCCUUUGAUAAGUUUGAUAUGCUGACAUUCGUUCUCUUUACAAGAUAUAAGAGUUGUUGAGAUCACUAUUAUUCCACCCGCAUUAGCUCGCAUAUCAGAUAUCUAGAUCUAAGUGUAACACAGUGUGUUGAGAGUGUCACAUUGACCUAGAUAAAUGACCUAAGUAGUGUUUAUAAAGCUUGGACGAUCCUAACCUUACAAUCCAGUUUUAGUUUCAUAUAAGAAAUGUAGGAGGCUGGAAUUAACACAUUAUUUGGUAAUUAGUUUCAUGCCGCAUUGAACCUUGACCUUCCAAUUGCCAAAGGAAUAAAAAGCGUUUCAGAUAGCCACCAUAUCUUCUAUGCAAUUAUUUCUCCUUUAAUUUUUUUGUCAACUGGCCUAAACACUUAAUUAAGUUGUGUAUCCAAACACUCAUUGUAGAAAAGACAUUAAAAAAGAGAAACAAUGGAGAGAAAGUAAAGAGAGAGAAGGUACUGUAAUGGGGUGCACUAAUUUGAUUACUGUCCGACUCUCACAGUGUAUACUGUAUACAAAUAUUAGUUAAGUAAUUUGCAAUAUCAUUUUUCCUUGUUCAGCAUGGUCUUGGUCUAAAUAAUUAGUAACAUAAACUUGUAGUACUACCUUAUAUCCUUGCUGUAGUUAGUUGUGACCAGAUUUUUAGUGCAAGAGCUUCACUAAUUAAUCAAUUUACAUGUAACUUUAGGAAAUCAACCAGGAUCCACUUUGGUUAAUGACUUGCAACAGCAGGAAAAGGAGCUUACACAAAAUAUAGUGCAACUUGAAAAUACUGAGGCUAUCAGGGCUACUUUGCUUUCCCAGCUUAAAGAAGCAUUGCAGGAACAGGUGCAAUUAUUUUGUAAAUAUGCUAAUAUUCAAAGACACAAUUGAUGGCUGCUUGCUAACCUCAAUUUUUUCAGGAAUCAAGGCAAGAACUUGUUCACUCUCGAUUGCAAGUAAGAAUCUGUUUUCUAUCUGUCUCUGCUCUUUUUCUAUAUGAAAUAUUAUCUUUCCCCCGUAAUAUAUGUGUUGUUUGACCUUAUGAUGCAUUGUCUGGCUUGAGAAUUUUGUGAAUUUAAUUUCAUUAAUUACUAAAAUAAUAGAAAAUAUUUGUUCUGCCUAUCAUUUUCUUUUGAUUAUUUCCUGUUCAUUAUUGUUGGAAUAAUUAGUGCAUCAAAAGAAUAAAAAUUAUCAAGGGGCACAUACCUUGGGACUUUUCAUCAAAAGAAACUAUUUCUCCUUUUGUUUUUCUAAAACAGCUAUUAUUGUAUUUACAUGCUCUCGUGUUUUAAGAUUCUUUUGUAAUAGUUAAAUCAUAUAAAUUGUCUGGGUUGUAAAAUUGGAUUAUGUAUCGAAUACACGCCAUCGUGUUAUCUACCCAUAGGCAACAACAACAACCAAGUCUUAUCCCGCUAAAUGGGGUCAGCUUCUGGGCAGCCAUAGGCAAAGAAUCAAAAUUCGUCCGUUGAGCAGGCUUUUCCUUCCAUAAAUUAUUUGAAUCAUGUUGAGAAGAUAAUUAAUUAGUGGGUGAUUAGGGAGGUAAACAGGUGAAAUGUGGCACUCACUCAAUUUCACUUAACCUACUUGUAAGGUGAAAUAUGCGUCCAACCUACGAAGACUUUUUCAUGUCAUAUCGCAUUAAAAGUGAGAUCUCAACCAGUGUUGUUAAACGGUGGCCAUGCCCCAUGCGGUAUGGAAUUUUUUAUAACUGCCAUAACCAAUUUGUGGAGGGAUGCCUGCCAUAGGCUCCAAUGGCGUGUUCAUAUUUGGCCUUUUGCCAUUCUGCCAUCGACAUUGAUCUCAACACACUCCUCACGUCUAGCAUUGGACAACUGGAGCAUGACUUGGUAAUAGGUGCUCCAACAAAUUUAGGAUAGGCUCAUACCAUUUUAGAAAUUAGGUAAAACCUUAUUCAACCACACAAAACCGGAAUGUCUAUUAUAUAGGAGUUAAGUAGCUUAGAGACUAUUUGUCAAAAAAAAAGUAGCUUAGAGACUAAGCUAUGCUAUAUUUACAGAAUAAAUAUUUUACACAAUAUUCUAUUCUAAUUAUUUUAAAGAGCAAGUAAAAUAUAUUUACUACUUCCAGACACAUUUAUAAGCAAAACACUACUUUUUAAGUUCAUUGAAACAUAAUUUAUUUGGUAUAUAUUAUAGACCAAAUACAUUAGGUAUUACAUGAACCUAAAAUGUAGGGUUUUGCUUAUAAAUGUGACUGGAGGGAGUAUUUAUUUAAAUAUCAAUAAAUAUCAACACAAACAAAUAACAUUAAGAACCCCUCAAAUUGGUUGUGCAAGAGCAAGAACCAUUUCCAUGGUGAGGAUACAUCUCAGUUUGACUUAGGUAUCGAGUCCAAAGAGAACAUUGAUCCAACUAAUUGAUCCAAAUAUGGCCUCAACAACUCCAACCUUGUGGUAGUUGACUUCUACAACCAACAGAGGAAGGCGUGAAUUUUGGUUCACGACUUGAACCCAAUCUGGAAUGAAACAGUGGCUAGCUUGGGCCACCAUGAUGUGUUGAACUAUCCUCGUUAUUGAUGAGUUUGUAUAGUUGGAUAGUUAGUGUUCAAGUAUUGGAGGUGUACCGGCCAAAAGUUAGAACCAAUUGAACUUCACCUCACUUUGCAUAUAUACAAUUGAUUUGCCAUCAUUUUGUUCGAUGCAAGACUUAUUUUUUCUACAUAUGGAAUUUGACGUUAAAAAGAGAUAGGGCCUGAAUAUAAUCUAUUCAGAACGUUAUUCACAUCUUACAAGCCGGUUUUGUAAGGAUGAGUUGGGCCUAAUCCAAAAACCAUAGACCAACUAUCCAAUCUCAUCCCAAGUCAUGCAAUGUGCUAAAUGAGAGUUCUUCCAACCAAAUACAUUUUAGUUUAGAUUACUUUUCUACAAAUUUGUUUUCAAGGUUUAUGGACACACCCUUUAGAAAUUAUAAUUUGCUGGUACCAAAUUCUUUAGAUUUGCUAACGAAGAUUCUUGGAUUAUUUUUCUGUUUUGCAGGCGGCACGAGACCACAUUGAGCAAGUAGCCAGUAUCAGGAAGAGGUUUAGCCAAGCACCAGAAACCACAAGGGUGCCGGAACAAACUACUCCAUCUGUUCAACUGAACAGCACCCCUCCUCCGCCUUCUUUUACUCAACCUACCAUGUCAUUUGCUCCUCUUCAAACUACUGAAGACGAUAAGAAGGCAGCAGCAGCUGCUGUUGCUGCUAGGCUUACUGCCUCUACAUCCUCAGCUCUCAUGCUCACAUCUAUUCUUUCUUCACUUGUUGCUGAAGAAGCAGCCUCCAAGAAUGGUAGUUUGAACUCUGCUGAGUUUAAUUCAGCACCACCUGGUUUCCAUCCUGAGAAAAGACCCAAACUUGAACAGCAAAUGCCUGUUUCUGAUGUCAACAGUUCUGACACCGGGAGCUCUUCUUUUUUCGCCACUUUUCAACAAUCUUCUUCGGCAAAUAUGCCACUAACACCACCAAGCAUGCAAUCCAUAUCACAAACCAAUCAAUUACAGGGUGCAUUUGCUUCAGCACCCCCUCCCCCUCCUCAUUCACAUAUGAAUCCACAAGCAAAUCAGUACGUUCAAUCUGCCGGAAUGAUGGUUGGGGGAGUUCCUUAUGGAUAUGGAUCAAACAACCUACAACCUCCACCUCCACCUCCUUUGCCUCCACAUGUGGCAAUGGGGUUAACUAGGCCCAGUAAUCAGCCAUCACAAUCACCUCAAUCACAGUCUCAGCAAGCGCAGCAGCAACAACAAUCUUCAGCUGGAGGAUUUUACAGGCCACCUGGAUUUUAUGGGCAAAUCCAUCCACCAACACCACCGGCACCGACACCUAGACAGUGAGUAUUGUUUAAAAGACGAGCAGCAAAAACUGCUGCAACUUAUGUUGUAAGUUCCUUUAGAAAAUUGUAUGCAGAGGAUUAUCUUGGAGGCUGUGUAAUAUAAUGUAUAUUACUAGAGAAUUAGUGAAUUAGACGCCGCAUUUAAUUUUGUAACGCUGUCCUCUUCUACCGCACUCUUGCAUGAGUCGUAGGUUUUAACACCAUUAGUUGAUACUUGACCAGUUAUCUAAAGGAAAGAACCAGAAUGACCUGUUGGGGCCUUCAUUAGUUUAUGGGGCACUUCAUGUGUGUGGUCCUGUUCUUGAUGAUGCAUAUUAGUAUGAACAUUAUUAGUAGUUGGUGUUUGGCACCAACUUAUAGAUGAAUUCUGAUAUGACUUUUCAGAAUCAAUUGACAAGAUAUGUUGGCAUUUUGGUUGGUUUGAUUUUGCAUAUAUUGCCUUUGGGUGAGGUUGGCAGACAUAUGCCCCUUCCUCAAGACAAGGUACAUGAACGUUUGGUUUUACCUUUUUUUCCGCUUGAAAAGGGAUGCAGGUGUCCUCAUAACAAAUUAAAUUCUAAUCAUAAGUGUUUGAAUGCUAGCAACACAUUUUUUCCAACAUAAACUGUUGUAUUAGUUAGAAUUCAUAUACUUUGGGUCUAGCCAACCAAUGCCGUCAGGGAAAUGGUUAAGAAAACUAUAAAUAAAAAAUUUGUCUUGAAAAUUAUGUUUGAUUUUUGAUCAAGUAAUAAUUACACUACUUUUUAUAAAAAGUUACUGCUUGUUUUGGUUUCUUAACCAAUGUCUUGAGGGCAUUGUUUAACAUUUUCCAUAUAAGUUAUAUUAAAUCCUAUAUAAGUCAUUCAAUUUGUGGUACUCAUGAAUUUCAACUAAUAGAAAGUAGCGAGAUCAAACUAAGGGAUUUUUGCAUGAAUUAAUUUACUAACAAUUUCUUUAGAUAUUUAAUGUAAAAUAAAAGCAAAUUUUUGUUUGCUUAUCAUUCUAAAAACAAUUAUUUUUACAUAUUCUCUUAUCUACCACACUAUAAUCAGCUUAUUUGUGAUAAGCUAUAAUUUAUUUUUCAUAAUAAUUUGAAUUUUGUUUAGAUGUUCUUUUGGAAGUUGAAUCAUACAGAAAUAAUACUCAAUUUUUUUUUAAAAAAACAAUGUUUUUAAGAACAUAGGAUCCAAAUAUGCUUGGUAACUGAAGGAUAUAAUAUUGCAACUGAAAGGAAAGUAUACAAACGAAAUUGAAAGGAAUCUUUUGCACCAAGAUUAAGCCCUAAUGAUACAAGAGUUGUAUAGACACUGUUUUAAGCUUAAGAUAUAAAAUUUGGGAUUAUAGGGUUCGACCAUGUUCUAGAAAAUAUAGAUUAAGACCUUUGAAUUAAAACACUUGUAAUAUUUCAGGAACAUAAAAUUCAAAACAUUUUAUUUUAAUUCAAUAACCAGAUUUUAUGAAUAUAGAGAAGAAAUGCAUCAUUGGGUAUAAACUAAAGAUUCUCAUAAGAAAGUUAUAAAACAGAUUCAUGAAAUCCUGGACUAGAAACAGAAUCAUUUAGUUUGAAGCAUGCUCAAGCUAUAAAAAUAUAAAUAAACAAGUCUAAAUCACUACUAUUUUUUGCUUCCCAAUCAUGAAAAUCAGAAGUUUGGAGUUUGUAGCUUCGAUUCUUCUGUUUCUUGGGACGCAAGAAAAUAGCAUUGUGCCGCAAAACCAAACAUACACAUAUCAUUGUUAUAAAUGUAUCAACUUUAAGACACAUACUCAAAAUUAUUUCAAAAGUAAAAUUUUCUUAGGUUUAGCUAAGAGACUGAUUUUGAAUUUUAGAACCCUAUUCUUGAUUAGCCAAGAGACUUGUUCCACUGCCAUUUGAUUCUUGAGCAUUAUUGAUAGCCCAUCUAUUAACUCUCCAUUGGGCUAUCUCUACCUGAAAAAUUAAAAUCCAAAUACAUUUUUUAAUACUUUUAUACAUUAGCUAAACAAGAAAAAUCAUUUGAACAAAUAAAAAAUAAAAUCAAGAAAUUAAAUUGGAAUAUCAAACACAAAUUGGUGAAAUAAAUAAUGCAACCAUUGGAAAAUACAAUAAUAGAAUAAUGAAUUUACCUGCUUGUCCCAAUCAGUUUUAGUAGUGAUGAUGAUAAGCAUUAUGGUUUGAACAAAUGUUCCAAACAACAUUCCAAUCCAAAUACCCUAGAGAAGAGAUAUAUAUAUAUAUAUAUAUAUAUAUAUAUAUAUAUAUAUACAUCAUUAUUAUCACUUGUAUUAAUCAUCAUGAUAUAGUAAAAAUGAAGAGGGGACAAAAGAGAGAUUAAUUACCUUGAUACCUAAAUUGUAAACAACACCAAUCACUACUCCAACAGGAAUACCAAUUAGGUAAUAACAACCUAUGUUUACAUAUGCUACAAUGCUUUGCCAUCCAGCUCCAACAGAAACUCCUAUUUAUGAUAUUGUUAUAUUUUAAAUUUCUCUCAACAAAAUAAUACAUUAAGUGAACAAUUUAAAAGAAUUUCAUAAUCAUAGUAUAUUAAAGAAAUACAUUCAAUUAUAUUUCACCACAAUGUCACAUUUCAAUAUUAUUUCAUAAACUUUUUUGUAGAUUAUACACAAAUGUUUUAUAUGGUGAGAACAUUGGUCACUUAAUCUGUUUGAAUUUUUUCACAUUUUCAGUACAUAGUUAUUAAAUUUAAAUACAAUUAUUUGUAAUUAAUUAUUUUAAAAAAAAAUUUAUUCGUAAUUAAUUUUUUUAAAAUAAGAAUUAAAUUAUUAUGUACAUAAGUCCAAUCAUAUAAGAAAUACAGCUAAAAACAAUGAUAUAAGAAAUACAACAAAACACUAAUAAGAACAGUUUUAUUUAAAUGUCUAUGUAACUACUAGAGUGAACCACAAGUAGUUGGUGCGUAGUGUGCGCAAUUAUUGUAAAUCUAGGGGUAUCAAACUCGAUUCCUACUCAUAAAAAAAUGCCAAUGUAAUAUUUUUUUAAAAAAUUUGACAUGAUAUAAAAAUCUCAAAGAUAAUUAUAGGGUUUAAAAAAUAUGAAUUGUGACUAAUUUAAAAACAUGAAAGUAGAUGUUACCGGAAAGUACAGGUUGAACACUAUUCAAUAACAUUGACAAUGCAAGCCAAAAUGAUAAAUCUCCAACAGCAUUAGCCACAUCAGAAUCUGAAGUGAAAAUGUAAGAAAGUUUUUUCUUCAAGAAUAAGAAGAUCAAGAAGAAAAUGAAUCCAAUGGCAAAUGAUGUGAGAGCAUUUAUCACAAUUGAAAAUUUUGCAUCUCUUGAACUUCCUCUUCCAAGUUCAUUUGCCACUCGAACACUGCAAAUUAAGCAAAAUAAAUAAAUAAUAUUCAAGACACAAAAUCAAUCAUUUAUUAUGUAAAAUUGACAUAGCAACAAGGAUAAGAAUUCUAUUCAAGAGAUUUAUUUUUUACAUUUUUGAAUCAUUUUUGUUUAAUUAUUUAUAUCUUUGUGAUUUUAUGCUAUUUUGAUAGUUGAAAAGAAGAGAUUGUGGUGAAAAUAAAACACCUACCUAGCUGCAGCAAAAAAGCCAAGGGCAAUCAUCAUUUCCCAACCAUUGAUGUUUAGGCUGCAAAAAUAUGACAAUUUGAUGCACCAAUCAAAUUAAUUUUCAAAUGAAUUAAGAAGCAAGGAUUAUAUUUCUUGAUAUGAAAUUAUGAAGCAAAAUAUGGUCAAUAUAAGAAUGAGAUAGAGAAUUAUACCAUAUGGACAUGGCACUAAGGGAAACCUCAGCAUCUUUCAUGUUGCCAGUUAAAAGAACCAAAAUUGAGCUAUACCAUACCUCAAGGCUGUAAAAUGAAUAAGUUAAGAUUAACUUAAAAGAAUCAUAACAUUAGCAUCUUUUUCUCGAGGUUACAAGAUGAAGCUCUUAACACUGAGCCGACACCUUGAACAUCAAUUUUGGACAAUAUAAUUCGACAACUUUUUAAAUGGUUAACACAUUUUAUACACUUUGUUAACACAAUUCAAUAAAUGAUUAAUGAAUAUAUCAAGAAUGAAUAACUCAUAAACCAUCAACAUAACUUAAUUAACCUAAAGAAUAUUGUGUGUUGGAAAUUCUACAUUCAUUAUGGUUUGCUUUUAGCCGCCUAAUUACCGCAUUUGGGUUACCUUGGUUGCAACCUCCAACACCUUCAUUGAUUUAAUUGAGAGUGAAUGAGUGGAUUUAUUCCCUCAUUGCCUAGAGAUAUCACUUGUGUGUAUAAGGUUUGGGCAUCCAUCAUCUUACUAGCUGGUUUUGUAAAAGCUAAUCCGACACAAAAUUCUAAGAUAGUAUUAGUGCCUAUUCUAGAUAUGUUAUUGGACUUCAUGUAUUGUCCACCAUUUAGGCCCAUUGAGCCCGAGCAUGAGGGGGUGUGUUGAAAACUUCACCUUCAUUAUGGUCCGCCCCUAGCAGCAUAAUUGUGGCAUUUGUGUUGUCUUCAUUGCAGUCACCAACACAUUCAUUGUGCUUGGUGUGAAGGGGUGGAUUCAACCCCAUAUUGCCUAGAGUGUGUAGUGUUUAUAAAGCUUGAACAAUCUUCACCUUACAAGCCUAUCAAGGCAUUUGGGUUACCGUGGCUGCAACCUCCAACAUCUUCAUUGCGUUAAUUGAGUGAGAAUGAAUGGAUUUAUUUCCUCAUUGCCUAGAGAUAUGACUUGUGUGUAUAAGGUUUGGGCAUCCAUUACCAUAAAAUCCGGUUUUGUAAGAUUGAGUCCGACACAAAAAUUCUACGAUAGUACGAGAGCCUAUUCUAGAUAUGUUAUUGGACUUCCGAUAAUGUCCACCCUUCAGUCCCAUUGAGCCCGAUCAUGAGGGGGUGUGUUAAAAAUUCCACCUUCAUUGUGGUUCUCCCCUAGCCACAUAAUUGUGGGAUUUGUGUUUCCUUCAUUGCAGUCACCAACACAUUCAUUGUGCUUGGCGUGAAGGGGUGGAUUUAGCCCUAGUUGCCUAGAGUGUGUAGUGUUUAUUAAGCUUGAACAUUCUCUACCUUACAAGCCUAUUUGAAAGGUUAAGCUACCUUGGUUGCAACCUCCAACACUUUCAUUGCAUUAAUUGGGUGUGAAUGAGUGGAUUUAUUUCCUCAUUGCCUAGAGAUAUGAGUUGUGUGUAUAAGGUUUAGGCAGCCAUUACCUUACAAGCCAGUUUAGUAAGACUAAGCCUGACACAAAUGUUAAGAUAGUACCAGAGCCUAUCCUAGAUAUGUUAUUGGACUUCUGGUAUUGUCCAUCCUUCAGGUCCAUUGAGCCCGAUCAUGAGGGGGUGUGUUGAAAAUUCCACCUUCAUUGUGGCCCGCCCUUAACUGCAUAAUUAUGGGAAUUUUGUCGCCUUCAUUGCAGUCACAAACACAUUCAUUAUGCUUGAUGUAAAAGUUGAGUUAGGCUCAACCUAAAAAUUCUAAGACUUUGGAUGAAUAGUUAAGUAGUAAUAUACCUUAACAUUUACAAAUUAUGUAUAUAAUAUUUUUUUGGACAAAUUAUGUAUAAUAUUUGAAGUUGAUGAUAGAAAAGUGCAUAACCUAAUUCUUACCACAACAUGAUUCCAGAUGAGAAAGAUUGCUUCACAACUGGCCAAAGAUCUUUGAAAGCCAAAAUUGAGAAACCCUUCCAAGUUUCAGGACAUUUUUUCAUGAUGAAAAUGAUUUGACCAAUAUUUGGUAACCAUAGUCCCAAUACUAAUGACAUCAUUGCACCAUUGAGUCCAAACUCAAACUUAACAGUCAAAAGCCAAGACAACAAAACGUGAAUAGCAAGAGAAAAUGCAGCUAAAUAAGUAAUAAUCACGUUCUUGCUUUGAGCUUGCAAGAAUGUUUGGCAAGUGAAUGACACAGCCAUUGCAAAAGUAGGACCUAUUGCCCAAAGUGCAAUUGUUCCUCCCACUUGUGCAAUUUCUUUUUUUUGUCCAAAUGCCUCUAAAAUUGGUGUUGUAAAUAUGUAAAGAGGGAGGAGUAAGAUUGUUGUGAAAAACAAUACUAUCCAAGAUCUUUGUAGAAACACUCCAAGCAUGUUGUAUUGUUUUGCUCCAUAUGCCUGUCCACAAAGUGUUUCCAAUGCACUUGCCAUCCCAAGCUGCAUUUUACAAUGUUUGUAACCAUUAUAAAUAAGUAAAUAAAGUAGCUAGAUUCUAUAUUACAGGGGUGAAAAACACUAUUAACCCUAAAGAAAAUAUUAAAUAUGUUUUUCGUCCUAAUAUUAUCAAAUAUUUUGUUUUUAGUCCUUGUAUAUACUUUUUAAACCAUAGAAAUUACUAGACUACAUGUUUUAAGUGUUUAAAAUAGGCCCAUUUAUUAAAUAUGAUUUUUUGUUAAUUAAAACAAUUUUGAUUGUAACAUCUGAUCGCACAAAAUUUAUCGGCCCCAUUACAUCGCUUAAAACCUUGGAUUUAACGGAUCUUAAUUUCUGAUCGCACAAAAUUUAUUGAGAGUUACGACCCGAUGGUUGUUUUUUUGGAUCGAUUGAUAACUCCUAAUCGGGUUAUUUUAGAGGUUAAAACAAUUAUGAUUAUAACUUCUGAUCGCACAAAAUUUAUCGGCCCCAUCACAUCGCUUUGCCUUGGAUUUAACGGAUCGUAACUUCUGAUCACUCAAAAUUUAUUGGGAGUUACGACCCGAUUGUUGUUUUUGGAUCGAAUGAUAACUUCUAAUCGACUUAUUUUUGAGGUUGAACAAUCUAUAAGGCCUAUGAACAAUCACCAAAGAAGGGACAAUUUUCAAUAUUAUUCAAAAUUAACACAUAAUCGCUUCUGAUUUUUUUUUUUUAAAUCUUUAAAAUUUCAUCUUAAAAUUAUUAAAUUUCUAAAUCGUUUUUUCCUAUGCCCUGGAACCACAAUCUUGUAAUUUUUAGGUCUAAAAAGGUGAACACAGAAACUAAAAACCAAAAAUAAAAAUUUAUAGAGACUAAAAACAUAUAUAACCUAAAAAAAUAAGUGAAAAAAUUAUAAACUAUAUCCCUAUUGGCAUGAGAAAGAGAGACUUACCAAUAUACCAGUUAUAAAUCUGCAUAGAGUAAUCAUGACAAGUGCAUAUGCAGCAAGUUCAGUUGAACCAACAAAAUGACCAAUAAAUGCUUGAGUUAUUAUGUAUGUACUAAAUGUUGAAAAUUUUGUGAAUAUUGCAGGCCCUGCCACUACCCAAAUCUUCUUGCUUUCUUCCCAUACCCUUUUCCUUAGUGAUUCUUUCUUCUGCAAAAGCUUCUCCCCUAGCUCAUCAUUCAUUGCCAUUGGUCACUACUUUUGAGCUGCCAAAUUGUUUUUGUUGAUAAAGAUAAUUCAUAGAUUGCAAUUGGACAAGAUAUAUAUAGUAAAGUAAACUAUAAUGUUCAUGUAUUAGAAAGUUCUUUUACUAUUCACUGAAGGAUAAUGUUUAUUUUUUUACACAGAUGGUCAAUUAUAUUUAACUGCGAUAUAUUUACAGAAUUUUAUAUAUAUAUAUAUAUAUAUACACAAAUAAUGUAGUUUUUUUGUUACAUAAGUCAAAUCAUAUCUUUUACAAUUCUACAUAAUAAUAUUAUUAAAAUAUUUGCACAAAUAUCUAUUAUGUCUCACAUAAUUUAUGUAAUUAUGUGAGACAUGAUUGAAUGUUGUCUUAAUAUUUUUAAAAUAAUAGUGCACAUGUUUAUAUGGUGAAAUAUAUUUUGAUAUAUGUGCCAUAUAUAUAUAUAUAUAUAUUUUAUUUUAUUUUAUUUAUUUAUUUUUUGGUACAAAUUUUUUACCUAUCAAUAGUUAGUGAUUGAAUUCUUGUAAAAAAAAAAGAAUGACAAAAUUACACUUUUAGUCCCUUAACUUAAUUUCAGGUAACAGUUUGAUCCUUUAUCUUUUUUUCAUUUCAAUUUGGUCCUUUUUGUCCAUUUUCAUAUGAAUUUUUAAGUUUAAAAUUCAUGAUUUUAUUUUCUUAUGGUCUUUCAAUCUUCAAAUCUAUGAUCCUCGUCUAUGUUUGCAUAAGAGUAUUAGAUUUGAAGCUUGAAAAUGUAUAUAAAAAUAGACAAAAAGGACCAAAUUGAAAUGAAAAAAAGAUAAAAGACCAAACUCUUACCUGAAAUUAAGUUAAGAGAUUAAAAGUGUAAUUUUGCCAAAAAAGAAUAGUACUUAAUUGGGUUUAAGAGUUGUCAUUUACUUUGCAACCUCAAAAAAUAAAGUUCAAGUCAAUGUCUAAGUUUUUUUUUUUUUAGGAAGUCAAAGUUAUUAAUAAUAUUUUACUAUUCAACAAUAUCUUAAUAGAAAUAUUGUAUUAUUUCGAUCUCAAUUAUUAGAAAAAACAAAGUUGAUGUAUCUAGUUAAAAAGUUAAACCAAAUACAUCUACAUUAAUUGAUUUUUUUUUCUUUUCACAAUAGGAGUAAUUAAAUUGAUACUUAAAUAUACCAACAUGUGAACACAUUGAUUGAAUAAAAUAAGUAUAAAAAUACAAGAUUUCACUAAAAAAGAAAAUGGGGACCUAAGAACAUUUAUAGAAUAUUAGCUUUUCUCCUAAUUAUAGUCGCAUUUCCCAUAUGCAUGAUCUCGCACUGUAUGUAAAACAAGUAAAAUCGUAUUUAUAGAAAUUUUACUUUUAACUAGAUCCUAUUUUACUGAGCUUGCAUACGGUACAUGUAAGGUAUCAGGCAUGGGUAAGAAUUUGAGAUAAAUUAAAUUAAUUCUAAAAAUAUUUAUAUAAAACAAUGUCUAUAAGAAAAAUAUAAUAUUUUUAAAGACAAAAGUUUAUAUUUUUUAAUUAGGGAUAACAAAAGUUUGUUUGUUAGUGGAGAGAUUGAAACCGGAAUCUCAUUCAUAAGACUCCUUUAACGUCUGAUUACAUACCCUUAGGUUACACAUUCAAAUAAAAAGUAUAUUUUAUAUAACAGGGCUAACCGGUGCCUUUGGGGCACUGUUUAAACAUACUAUUUAUUUUCUAAAGAUUAACUUGAAACAUGAAAAUAAUAAAAUAUUAUAUAACAUUGUUAUUAAAUCAACCAAACUAAUUAUUAAAAAAUAAAAAUAUAAAAGAAACACAUUAAUUAUCAUUGACCAAUACAUUAUAAAAAGGGUUUAAUUCAUUAAAUAAAAUAAUUUACACAUGCAUAUAAUUAAAUGUCAUCACUUAGAUUAUUUGCGAAGAUAUUCUAAAAAUUAGAAAUAUUAAUAACAAUGAUAUUAUAGUGUAAAUUCAUUUAAUACAUUCCUAAAAUAAUUUUAUACAGUCAAUGAAAAAUAAUUAAUAUUUUAUGAAUUUUUUUAAAAUUGAAAUGCAUUUUAAAUUACAUAUAGAGCCGUACGUAGUUGCAAACAUAAAAUGUUUUCAUAAAUCUUAAAUUAUUUUACAUUGCGUCUUUAAUUAUUGUUGCAGAUUGUAGUUUAAAAUUAUGUAAUUGUUUUGAUUGUUUAAGAAAACAAAUGAAAAUGAAUAGAAAUUAUUGGACGGUAAAGUUAAUCUUAAAUGGACAUGCCUUGCCAUAUUUGAGAAAAAUUGCUUCUAUGACCAAAUCUCACCUAAUUUCUUUGGAGCUACUCCAAACUUUACAGAAGACCUAAAUCAUGUGACAUAAUUUUUAGAAAAGUUUUGAGGCUUACAAUGUGGGGAUAUGAAAUAUUACCGUUUAUUUUUAAACAAACAAAGAGAAAAGAGGUUGAUGAUAAAAGCAUAAUAUGCUUUAUUUUGCCAAAGGAAAAUGAUAUUUGUUACGGGAGAUUUGCAUACGAAAAUUUACGGAUGUUUGAAAACAUGCAAUUUCAACGUGCUGGAAUUUACAUUAUGUUCUUGGAUGUACUACGGAUUUAAUUUACAAUGAUACUAGUUAAUAUGGUUAACCUUAAAAAAUGUUUAUGAUACAUAAAAUUUGGAUUUUUGAAUUUAACGUGUAUCUGUUUUGGGUCAUGUUAACAGAUGUCCUAGGGCACUGGUUAAGGAAAAAAAAUUAAAAGAAAUAUUUUUUAGACUUUUAUAGAAAAAAAUAUUUUUUAGACUUUUAUGAGUGAAAAUAUAGAAAAAAAUGCACUUGAUUAAGUUCAUUAUGAAAUCCGUAUCUUACAUUAUUUCAUGGGUUAAUAGUGUUUUACCCCCUGUAAAAUAUUUUAUUUGGAUUCCGUCCUUGUAAUUUGAAGAUUUUUUGGUUUUAGACCUUCAUGAAAAAUUUUGUCCCCUAUAAUUUGAGUAAAUUUUGGUUUACCCCCUGCAAUUUGAGCAAAUUUCGAUUUACCUCCCUAUUAAUUUGAGGAAAUUUCGGUUUACCCCCCGCCAUAUCAUCGAUUUUGUACAGUCAAAAUUCAUGAAGGUCCAAAACCAAAAAACUUCAAAUUACAAGGACGGCAUCCAAAAAGAAAAUUUUACAGGGGGAAAACCAGAAAUGUCCUAUAUUAUAGGGGGUAAAACACUAUUAACCAUUAUUUGAUAUAUGAAAAUCAUAAUAACUUUCUCUCUAGCUUUGAAAUACUCUAACUUCUCACUAGCUUUCUUAAUCCGUCAUUCCCUUUUCCUUCCGCCUCCCUCAUCACAAAUCCAAACCCAAGCUUUUGAGAGGUAGCCUUUUCUCUUGGUGGUACGACGAGUGACAGCCGUCCUCCGUACCACCAUUUUUACCUCCUUUUCGGCGACCGCUUCGUCCUUAGAUUCCGUCACCUUCCUUCGCAGUUGUUGGGUUGUUUGUGUUCGUCGGCGUCACCGGAAGGCACGGUGUGUCUGGCGGUUUCGUGGUUGUCUGUGUGCAGCGGUUGUUCCGGUUCCUUUCCUUGUGGGUUUUGAUCCGUUCGCGGGUCGGGUCCGUUUCUAUUUUUUUGGUAGUAUUUCGUUUUAUUCCAUAUCUGUGGUGCUGUUACUAGCUGGUGGUGGUUGUUCAGGAGUGUUUGGUGGUGCCGGUGGAGCUUGGAGGUGGUGAAGACAUUAUGGCGGUGAUGUGGUGGUGGCUCGGUGGGAGGCUUUUAUAGGGAGGUGCUGAAGUGGUGUGCCGUGUGGACCGGUUGGAGGUGGAUGUUUGGUUUGGUGGUUUUUUACUCCAGCAACGAAUGUCUUCCCAUUGUCACCGGCGGCCGACUUUAUACGAUCUAGGUUGUGUUUCCGCUUGUUUUGUUGUUGGAUUUCGUCUUCCUCUGAAUUUGUGUUUGUGUUGCCUCCUGUUUCUUGGUGAGGCGUUUUGACGGGGUAGUUUUUAUGGUGGUGGUGAUGUGUGGUGGUGGUGGUGGUGGUUCGGUUUAUGGUUAUGGUACUGGUGUUGUUGUUUGUGUGGUUCAGUUGAGGUUCUAAUGGUGGCGGUGGUGUUUCGGUUUGCGUGGGUGUAGGUAGGGGUUGUCUUGGUCUGGUUUGGAUGGGUGGUCGUGGAUCUGGUGUCGAAACACUUGGCGGACGAGAGCUUUAUCAGGGGGGUGGUUGGAGUCGCUUGGUUAGGAGGUGGGCGUUUUUGAGGUGGUUGUUAUGGGUGAUUCCUUUUGGAGGCCAUUUCUUUUAUUCGGGUCAUAUUCGUUGUCGCUGUCUCUUGUUUGGGUUUGGGUAUUAAGGUGUUUAGGGUGCUUUGAGGAUGGAUGUCCUUUGAGCUAAGCAGUCUCCUUUUUUGUUUUGAUCGACGUUUUGCUCCACCGCAAAUCAUGUUGAUUGUCUUACUUUUUGUGUGAUGGAUGCUGGUGGGCCGGUUAUUUUGCUUCGAGAUCGGGAGUUGGUGUCUUUCUGCAAUCUUGUUUUGACCGACUUUGGUGUUCCUUUGGUGGACCGGGGGUGAGGGUGCCCUUUUAAGUUGGUCCUAAAGUCUGGUGGGCUGAUCGCUUUUGAUUCGAGAUCGGGAGUCAGUUCUUUGGUUCAGUUUUGGUUUUGGGCUUUUAUUGGUGCUCUUUCGGUGCACCGGAGGUUGUGCGGUGGUGGAAGCUGAAUGAUCUUUAGAAAAUGAUUUCUUAGGAGUCAGUUUUAGGGGGAUGUUUAUUUUGAUGGGUUUAUCCCUUAUGGGGUUGAUCGCAGGGAUGUCUUUGUUGGUGUUUAUUUUCGGGUGUUCCUUCUAUAUACGACACCUUUUGGUUGUACUUUCUUUAUUACCAGUCUCUGUUCGUCUUGUACAGGGAUUUAGUUUUUAAUAAAAUUUUGCUGAUUAAAAAAAAGAUAUAUGAUAAUCUAGAAAAAUGUUGUUUUUCUAUAUGAUAAUAGUGAGGAAAAAUAAUGAAAAUUUACCUUUGUUUUCUUGAAUCUGUAUUCUUUUCAAUAGAAUAAGUUGUCACACAAGUUUAGGCUUAAAGCUCAUGCUCGUAUAUAUAUAUAUAUAUAUAUAUAGACUCUUUCUAGUCUCACCCCAUAUAAUUCUAGUUACAUCUGAAAAUUUAUUUAAAAUUUUACAACAAUAUCAAAAUUGUCCUCUUCAUGUAAAUUUUUUAAAACCCUUCUUUCAUUAUCAUUUUGAACCCUCACCCCCUUUCAUCUAGAAAUCACCAUAGAUGUGCUACCAAGAUCAAAGAUUGAGUCAACAUCUUUUUCAUUGAUAUGUACUCUAUUCAUAAAGGUUAGUGAACUUAUUGAAUUUCAUUUUCUAAAAGUUUCUAUUUGUAUAUUGUUUGUUUUGGUAUGAGAUAUGCCUCUGUUAACAGUAAUUUGAUUUUAUGUAGUGAGAUGUUAGUGUAAACUCAGUUUACGUAUGUAUAUAAAAGGUUUACGUAAAAUGAGUUUACAUAUAUAUAUAUAUAUAUAUAUAUAAUUAAUAGGUUAGUGUAAACUCAGUUUACGUAAUUAAUGUAAACUCAGUUCACAUGUAUAUAUAAGAGGUUAGUGUAAACUCAAUUUACAUAUAUAUAUAAAUUUAGUUAAAUGGUAUAUUAGUUAUUCUGCCAUGUAACUUGGUUUUAUAUAAUAUGGUACAAAGCACACACGUAUUUUAUCUAGAAGCACUAUCACAAUUCAUUGUGUCAUAUAUUUUAUCUAGAAGCACGGUCAAUAUAUAGACACAUUAUUAUUUUAUAUAUAUGGAAUCAUGUAUAGAAGAGAAAGGGUGGUGAAUGUGGUGCUGUUUUGAAUUGACUAGCCUCAUAAAAUGUUUGCUAUUUAAAUAUUUAUGACUAAGUUUGCUAAUUAAAUUUUUUCAUUUUUAUUUUUUAUAGAAGGAGACUAUCAAAUUAUAAAUACAUACUCCUUCCGUCUCAAAUUGUAUGACGUUUUGGACAUUUCACAUGUAUUAAGAAAUGUAAUUAAUUUUGUGUGGAAAAUGGAUAUUAUGAACUGUUUUACAAAAUUGUCCUUAGAAUUGAUAUGAGAAAGAUAAAUUAAUGACUUGGAAGAAGAGAAAGUAGUAAAUAGUUAAGGAUAUAAUAUGAAAAAUAACAUUAAUGCUUCAUUGGUAUUGUAAAGCGACACACAAUUUGGGACAAUUUUUUUUUUUCAAAACGACAUACAAUUUGGGACGGAGGGAGUAUUAAUUCUUUGAUGAAAAAAGAUAUUUUUUAUUUUUUUAAAGAAAAUAUUAAAUAUAAUUAAUUUAUAGAAAGUGGUUACUCAAUAAAAUUACAAAAAUAUUUCUAAUGAACACAUUUUUUUUUUAUUUUGAUUCAAAUAAACACAUUUAUUAAAAAUAUUAUAAUUUAAUUUAAAAGAUAGAUAUAGUAAACAUUAGUUCAUUACUUUGUAUGUUAACUUUUUUUCGGUUAAACUUUUUUUUUAUUAUUAUUAUUAUUAUAUACGCCUUAUUAUUUAUAUCUAUCUAUACUAUAUAUAUAUAUAUAUGAGAAUAGAGGAUUUUGAGCUGAUUUUUUUGUUAUUCCAAUUAUACCUUUAUACAAAAUUUCAAUAAAAUAUUGUUGAUAAUCUAUACGCGUUAGCACAAUAACAAAAGUGGAAUGAUGGGCAUGUAGUAUGUAUAAUGUUUCCAAUGUAUAUUUUAACUUCAAACAAAUUACCAAUAUUUAUAAAGAUUUUUUUUAGGCAAAUUCUAUGGUACACCCAAUGAAUUUGGGUGUAUCGGUACACCAAGUCGUAAAAUUAAUAAUAAAUCAGUUGUUUUUUUGAAGAAAAAUAAUUUUUUUCUAUCAUUGACAACUAAGAUAAUUAAAUUUUAUUUACCAAAAGCUUUGACGAAAUAAAAUUUAAUUUUUAAAAUUUUUUAUUACUCAUAACAAUGAAUAUUGAUUAUUUUUUUAUGACAAAAUGUAAUUUUUUUAAUAUAAUCCUUAUAAACAAUGAAAUGAUGGUUUUUCUUAUGAAAUGAUGUUUUCUAAAAUAUAAAUAUUGACAAAUACCUUUUUAUUUCAUUAAAGUGAUCGUUAAUUUAUAAAUUUUAUGCAAAAAGAAUACCGGUACACUCAAAAUUGUGGGUGUAGCAUAGAAGUUCCCUUUUUUUUAAUGAACUAAGAGUGCAGUUAAUUAAGCAUCAAGGAGCAAUUUAGACAUCCCAAUUAGGUUUACGUCCGCAAGAAACUGAUAUCCUCUGUCGGCCACUCAUAAAAUAGAUACAUUAGAAAGAGGAAAAAAUAUGUACCAAGAUAGGGUCAAACCAAAACCAUCAAAAAGACCAAAAGAAAAAUACAAAAAACGGGAAAAGAAGAAGAAGAAAACCAAAAACACAAAUGGAAACGAAAGGUUGGCAGACCAAUGCAGCCUCGAAAAAAAUCAUUCCUAAUAUAAAGAGGAAAAAGAUAAGAGUUUGAUCAAUAUUAGCAAUGAUAAGAUCAAGAAUUUAUGAGCUGAAUUGAAUGGGAAUGCAAGAGAGUAAUAUCUCAAUGAAAGUUAAGUUAAUGUUGCAAUGUAACAUGCUUACAAACCAAGUCCUUAAAUUCACAACAAAAGGACAAGUAAGAAACAAAUGAUGCGAAGAUUCCAAAUUAAAGAACACAAACUGAGACCACAAUGCAUUCCUUUAACUGUAAGUUAUCAUCUGUAGGAAUUUUGCGUUGCACGAGCCGCCAAAAGAUAAAAGAAUGAUAUGGAGGAAUACAAGACCGCGUAGGGUGCAACCAAAUUGAAAAGCUUGUUUGGAGGAUAAAUUACCGUCGAAAGUGUGCAACCAAACUAGCUUAUCUGGAAGGGGAGAAAUCGAGAGAAUGAUCUUCAAAAUGCUUGAAACAAUAUUAGGAUUCCUCAUGACCAUUAAGGGAAUGUUCCAUUGACCCGGUACAAUAGGAGAGAAAUGCUUACAAUUCAAGCAUGGAUCGCCAUAGAUAGGAAUGUUCAUAAGAUUAACCAAAGGAGAGCCAAUCCAAUUGUCUAGCCAAAAAUUGACGUGCUCAUCGGUACCAACUAGUCAAAUUGAGCUUACUGAAACAAUACCAAAAUGGGAUUUGAUACCUUACCAAAUAGAUGAUUUAAAAUGAUGAGAGAUAGGUUGGUCAUGCUUGAAAAAUUUAUGUUUGAACAUCUUAGACCAUUGAGACUCUUCAACAAUGAAUUCCAAGGCAAGGCAAACAAAGAGUAUUCCAUGCUACCGGAUAAAAUUUCUUAGAAUAAAUAUCAUCACUCCAUAAAAAAUUUCUGAUCCAAUUGCCUAAUUGAUGUAAUAACUUGACAUGCCAAAGAUAUAAAUCAUACAUGAAAAGAAUAACCAGCGUACCAUGAAUGAUGAUUUAAUCAAUUGAACUCUUUCUAUAAUAUAAAGUAAAGACCCCUUCCAAGUUUCCAAUUUGACCUUGAAUUUGUCUGUGAUAGAUUGAAAAUGAACACUUUUAGGCUUACUGAUGACUAAAUUUAACAAGUGAAGCAACUUAUUUUCAAAUAAUAAAAGUAUUAAGUAAAAUAGCUUCUACAGAGAUUGUUGUUUCAACUAGGGAACUAGCUAAACUCAUUAAAACAGAGAAUAAAAAGGGAAUAAAAUAAAUAAAAUAGAGUAAAUUGGAGGCAGUUUGCAAGUUUGAUUGAGUUGCGGAAAACAGUCGAGUUUCGAGUUUGAUUGCAGAAAACUAAACGUUUUUGACUGCGGAACUUAGUGGUGGUUAGGAUUAUUCGAAACCCCUCUAUUUCCUUGUUGUAUUAAAUGCAAAUAAUUAUCAGUUAUGAGAUAACAAUUCUAUUUAAGUGAUGAUUUCAUGAGAAUUUUACGUUCCUCUAGCUGUCAAGUUCCACAAUAAGAUUAUACGUGCUCUACGGGUAUAGGGUAGUCAAUCCUUGAAGGUUCAUAUGCCUACGUAAGGUUGUUAGAGUGGCGCCUUACUGUAUCAUGUAUCAGAGGUAAUUGAAACAUAAAAGAGUUGAGAUCCAUAAAUUGUCAUCUAAAGACUCAAACUUCGUCUAUAAAUCUUAAAAGUACAUCACAUACCUUUUCUUUCCUUAAUAGUUCUACAAACUGAUAGCUCUAAUGUCAUUUAUCUUACCAAGGGGGAAAUAAUAAGUUUAUAAUGAAACGUUCGGAAAAGGUUGACCAGAGAUAUCAACUCGAUUACCUUCAAGGUCAUUCUCCCAUUUUUGGUAUUUCAUGGCUUUUGAACGAAUCCUUUACAUAACUAAAAACAAAUUAUACAUAAACAUGCUACUUUUACUCUAAAAUGACGCUGAUGAAACCUGAAGUGAUAAAUGAAUUUUAAAUUUGGGCUGAUGGGUAUAAGGAUUGGGGAAAACAUGAUGUGGGGAGAUGAGUGUAUGAUGGAAUGGGAGAAAAGUGGGUCUGUGAGAGGGAGAUGAGGUUUGAAGAAGUCGAGUUUACGAGAGGUAGAAAGAUUUAAAGUUGGGUAAAAUCAUUUUUCUUCUUUUUUGGUUUUUAGAAGAGUAGUUUGAGUGAUGAAUAUGGGUUUUUUUUUUGGAUUAAAUAAAGAAAAGGUAUGAAGAAUCUAAGUUAAAAAAUAUUUAAAUAAUGAAAUAAACAUGAUCAAGAGACACGGCCUAAAAACGUGCAUUUUAGCCUAAAAAUAUACAAUCAAGAGUAUCAAAUGCUUCUCUGAUAUCAACCUUGAGAGCCAAGUUCCCACCAAAAUUCUUUUUAUCAAAGAAGUUGAUGGCCUUUGAGGUGAUGAUAACACAACCAGAAAUGUAUCUGUCUCUAAUGAAAUGUCUUUGAUGUAUAAAAUGAUUCUAGUAGUGGCUAAUCCAUCAUAAACUGUUGGUGAAAAUUUUAAACUGAAAAUUAGCUAACGCAAUUAGUCAAUAAUCCCAAAUAGAAAUGGUUUUAGGCAUCUUAGGCAUGAGCACAAUAAGACUAAUAUUAAGGUUAGAAAUCAAUGCGCCACUAGAGAAAAGUCCUCGCAUAGAAUGGAAGCCAUCUGAAGCAACAAUCACCACUAGAAACUAUCGAUUUUCCUGCGGAUUUGGAUAAAUAUUCCACAGGAAAACAUUUUUCUGCGGAUUUUGCCAGGAUUUAGAUACCGAGGUAAUAGCUUCAUGGGUAAUUGUUUCCUUAGGAUUUUAUUAUCCGAAGGAAACAUUUGGUCAGUGUUUGGGAAGUUUUCCUGCCUGAACUUACUCGCUUCAAUUUCCGCAGGAAAAUCUGCAGAAACAACUACAGGAAACGUAAUUUAGAGAACAAUAAGCUGUAGGUAAAUCCGCAGGAAAAUAUUUUCUAUAAAAAAUAAUGCUCUAUAAUACAUUCCAGAACGAUAAAAAUAUAAAUUUUAAAAGAUACAAUUUUUAAACAUUUAGAACAAAUUAAAUGUGUGAACAAAAGAAUGUUUAACAAUUGCACUCAUCAUACUAAGAUUAAAAGAAACACACGUCUCUUUAUAGUUGAACCUCCAAUACCCAAUUGCUAAUGUCUCAAACCUCUCAAAGUCUGUUCCACAUGGUAAACACAAGCAUCAUAGUUUGCUGUAUGUUUUGACAAGUAGAACUAAACAUAUAAAUUCAUGAAUUGUGCAAAUGUUGCAACAGAAAGUAUAUCCUACCGACGAAAGAGACACGGCCGUAUAAGCAAAAAUAUCAUAUUUGGGAGUUUUCUGGAAACAAUUGUGUUCUUUGAGCAUAUUUGGUAGGACUACAGUCUACCACCCUUAAGUGGUAUAUAUGAUAUUCAUAACCUGCAAAGACAAGCAAGGUGUUUGGUUAAUAAGAUCCCAUUACAUCAUCAUUCAAGCAAAUAAUAUGUCAUAUUAUAGAUAAUUGUAGCUGAAUGGCGGUAAUACGGGAUGAACAAAUUAUAAUAACAACUGAUAAACUUACCCUCUUGCAACUACUACAUCAACAACUAUAGAACUUCUUGAAACGGAAUGAAGAAAUUCAUUAAAUGAAGUUCAACUCUCACAACAGAUGAUGCAAACUAGUCCUUAAUUAGAGUACUAAAAGUAUCAUAUUUAUCUACAGAAUCACGGUGGAGAUUAUUCACUAUUGUUCAGUAACUACGAAUCAAUAAAUUAUAAAACUCACUAUUUACUAAUAAUAUUGUGAAGGCCAAAAACUAUGUUUUCAGCAAAGCACAAAACAAAAUUCAGUCACAACCAAUCCAUCCAAUAAAACUCACUGUUUACUAAUAAUAUUGUGAAAUGGUGUUUCAAAAACAUACAAAUCCAUGGGUCAAUAUGUGUACUUCCCCUAGAUGUAGAAGGCCAAAAACUAUCUUUUCAGCAAAGCACAAAACAAAAUUCAAUCACAACCAAUCCAUCCAACAGUUGAUAUAUGAUUUAGAUUUUCUAUUUAGUAUUCACCCAAAGAAUAGGAAAAGCUCAUCCAUGUCUAUGAAGGAACAUAUGGAGUGUGAUCUGAGUGACCCGAUUACAUGUGGCCAAACAUAUCUUGGAUAGGAUCUGAUAAUGUCUUCGAUUUAGGAUCUGAUACCAGAUUACACGUUGCCAAAUUAGAGGGUUCAUAUUCAAUUUCUAAAGAAAAAAAAUUUAACAAUUCAAAUGCUUACAAUUUUUAAAAUUUAAUAAAGAAAAAGAAAAAAAAAUUAAACAAAACCCCAUCAAAUUUCGCAGGAAAUGACAUACGAAAAUACAAAUGAAAAACCGUUGGCAAAAGUAUAGAUUACCUACGGAUAUUCAUGCGGUGAUGGGAUCCGCAGGAAAAUUGAUCUGAGGAACAUGAACUGUGGCAAAAUCCCCAGGAACUCAUGCGGAUAAUUUUCUGGAGGAAAAUCCGCAGGAAGAACGAGUAUUUCUAGAAAUGAAUGUCCCCAAAAUGUUGAUAUCAGUGACCACCAAAACCAUCCAAGCCAGCCGUUAGAUCAAAGACAGUUCCUUUGAUCUCAUCAGCAAGAGGGAGAGAAAUCAAACAAACAUUAUCCUCAACAGAAACCAAAGGAGGAAUAGAUUACAAUAUCAUUUGAUGAAGAACACAAGAAUUAGAGCUUCCUAUUAGAGAUAUAGGUUAGUUAUUACUUGUUAAUAUUAGUCAUAUAGUAGUAUAUAUAGUUGUAGCCACCUCAUUAGAGGGAUCUCUUAUCACUUGUAAUAUUCACUUUUAUCAUCAAUAGAAAGAUUCUUUGAGUAUUCUCUCAUUCUUCCACGGAUAUCAUGUUUCCUAUAACCUCCAAAAAUGGUUGUAAGUAAUUUAGCACAUUAUUCUCGAUGGGCGAUGGGGACAUUAACAUCUCAUUCCCAUUAUGGAUCAUAGAAAUUCUCUUAACCUCUAACUUAAUUUUAGCAACUGGAUGAAAAUAGAAUGUGUUCCUAUCCAGGGGCGGUUCUAAGGCUCGGCGACCCCGGGCACUCGCCCGGGCUCCGGGCCAAUUUUUUUGCAAUUUCUUGUGUAAAUCUCUAUGAAUUUCUUAUAUAAACCCCUAUAAAUUGGGCAAUUUCUUUACAUUUUUUAUUAUUUGCUUGCAAUUUCUUAUGUAUGCCCUAUAAAUGUGUUGCAAUUUUUUUUUUGCCCGGGCUUUACAAUAUUCCUGGCUCCGCCACUGCCUAUCCCCAUAAGUGAAGCUUUGUGUUAUAGCACUUUCUCUCCCUAAUUAAUCUUGACAAGACAAUAACUUAGUAAUGAGCAAUUAAGCAUGUAAGUCCUGGACAUGCAAAUCAUCAGUCAAACCAAUUACAUCAAUUAGAAGUUGAAUUUGAUUUACCUCACUAAUUAUACGUCACCAAAGACGAAUUUAUUCCAAACUUUGAAAUAUUGUUUCAAUCUCUUAAGCUUAUAGGUUGAAAACGAACCAUACCACUACCAAACACAUGCUUGUUACACACUUCUAUCGCUAGAAUUCUACAAUCGUGUCAUGAGAUGUCCAAGACUUGAAUAAUUUACCAGCAAGGGAUAUUUGUCAUAUUGAUUUUAUGAUCAACACACAGUAUGAUAAAUUAUGCCAAAAAUCGAUCCAGUCUUCAUUGCAGAUAACCCUAACCACCCUUAGAGCAAUAUCUUUAGGACUGAGGUAUUUAAUUGUGUUAAGAGGUUCGCAUUAUACCAAGAUAAAAAAA